ACUGGCCAGAUGAGGAUGCACUUCGAAAAUGCAAUGCGAUCUCUUUAAGAUAUAAUAGUAAUCGUGAAUUUCCUGAAGGAUUAGAAUGCCCAAACCUUGAAUUUUUAUUUAUCUCUAUCAAAUAUUCUUCUCUUGAAAUCAAUAUUCCUGAGAACUUUUUUGUAGGGAUGAAAAAGCUUAGAGUUCUAGAUUUUACUCGAAUGCAGUUUUCUUCUUUUCCAUCUUCAAUUGAUCUUCUACCAAAUCUUCACACACUAUGUCUGGAUCAAAGUGCGUUGGGGGACAUAGCAAUCAUUGGGAAGUUGAAGAAUCUAGAAGUCCUUAGCUUUUUGAAGUCUGAUAUUAUGCAGUUGCCCGAAGAACUAGGUCAAUUGAAUAAGUUGAGAUUGUUAGAUUUAACAAAUUGUUUCCAACUGAAAGUUAUUGCGCCCAAUCUCAUAUCAAGCUUAACUCGACUAGAAGAGCUGUAUAUGGGUAAUUGCUUCAUUGAAUGGGAGGUUGAAAGAGCCAACAGCAAAAGAAGUAAUGCUAGCCUUGACGAAUUGAUGCAUUUACCUCGGCUAACCACUCUAGAAAUUGACGUUAAAAGUGACAAUAUUUUACCAGAAGGUUUUUUGGCCAGAAAGCUCGAAAGGUUCAAAAUAUCUAUUGGAAAUGGGUUAUUCAUGCAUCCCAUGAGUGUUGGACAACAUUGGUUUAAAAGUCGGCCGCGCUUUUCGAUCAACAGUGAUCGCAAGAGUUUAAGAUCAUUGAAGCUCAAGCUUGAUUUUAUGGACAUUUGCUCCAUGAAAUUGCAGGGCAUCAAUAACGUUGAAUACUUAUGGUUGGACAAGCUGCAAGGCAUCGAGAAUGUUCUUUUCAAUUUGGACACGGAGGGCUUUUCACAAUUGAAGCUUCUCUGGGUUCAAAAUAAUCCUGACGUCUUUUGUAUCGUCGAUUCAAGGGAGAUGGUCGCUUGUGAUGCCUUUCCUCUUUUGGAGUCACUUACCAUUCACAAUUUGAUCAACAUGGAGAGGAUAUGUAUUGAUCGGCUCAAAGUAGAGUCUUUCAACAAACUCAAAAACAUAGAAGCAUAUAAUUGUGAUAAAUUGAGUAAUAUCUUUUGGCUCUGUACUACAAAAUGCCUUCCAAGACUUGAGAGAAUUGCAGUUAUUAAUUGCAGCAAGAUGAAAGAGAUUUUUGCAAUUGGGGAAGAAGUUGAUAAUGCAAUUGAGAAGAUAGAGUUUGCUCAAUUAAGAUCUUUGAGUCUGGGGAAUCUUCCAGAGGUUACAAGUUUUUGCUGUGAGGUGGAGACUCCUUCAGCAUCACCGAACAGACAAGUGUCACAACACGAAUCGACGACUAUGUUUUGCUCCAGCGAAAUCACUUUGGAUAUUUCAACUCUGCUUUUCAACGAGAAGGUGCGUAGGCUAACAUUUUCUUUAUAUAUAUAUAUAUAUAUAUAUAUAUAACAGACUUUAUUCUAUCAUACGUUCUCUUUUGAUGUCAUACGUGGAAAAUAAAUACAUCAUUUAAAGAAUUGAAAGAAAAUGGAAAAAAAGGAUAAAAAGAAUCUCACGCGCUCACUAAUUAAGCUCUUAACAAGUAGUAUGAAUUAGAAUGCAUUCUCAGCUGUCAGUUGGAAAUUGAUUCUGACUUGCAUUAUUUUGUAAUCAAAGAAGAAAAUUUCAACAAGUGCUUCCCAUAUGGAUGGAUCUAACGAGAAAUUCUUAUUUUUUUAGGUUGCGUUGCCUAACUUGGAGGCUUUGGAGAUAUCUGCAAUUAAUGUCGACAAGAUUUGGCACUACAAUCAAAUUCCGGCGGCCGUGUUUCCUCACUUUCAAAGUUUAACACGAUUAGUUGUGUGGUACUGUGACAAACUGAAAUACAUAUUUUCAGCGUCUAUGAUCGGAAACCUCAAGCAGCUCCAACACCUAGAAGUACGCUUCUGUGAGGAUUUCUGAGAACAGAGCAGAUGAAGUGAUCCCUUAUUUUGUCUUUCCACAGCUCACCACUUUGAGACUCCAAGGUCUACCAAAACUUAGAUGUUUGUACCCUGGAAUGCAUACUUCGGAAUGGCCCGCGCUAGAAAUUCUUUCAGUGCAUCGUUGUGACAAAUUAAAGAUAUUCACUGAAGAUUUAUCGCAGAAUAAUGAGAACGAUCAACUUGGCAUUCCUGCACAACAGCCCCCAUUGCCGUUGGAAAAGGUAUGAAGCCAUUUUCUAGAUUUUUUGUCUACAGCUUAUUUUUAACUUUGAAAAAUAUGGCAAAGCAUCGAUAAAUUAAUACUCAAUAAAUUGAAAACUUUUAUUAUACAAUAAUCUUUGUUAGUCUAGAUUAAGAGAUCAAUGUGGUAGAUUAAUAAUUAUAUGAACUUUUUUUGGUAGAGCAUUUAUAAAAGAAUCCUUAGUCUUUCCAUAUAGAAGAACUUACAAAAUAAAUUAGUAAUUUAUUAUUGUGCAAUAAAAUAAUUUCGAGCCAGUAUAAAUCAACCUUUUUCCCUAAUUUCUUUUUUACCUCUAAAAUUAACAUAUAAAAUAAAUUUUAUCAAUAAUUCAAUUUUUUUAAAAUAUAAUAUAAAACAAAUAUUAUAAAGUCACUGCGUGUGACCGUAGAUCAUCAAUUGACCUCAUUAGUUAUUAUGAUUGAUGAUGAUCAGAUCGUACCCAACUUGAAGGAACUAUCACUAAGUGGAAAAGAUGUGAAGAUGAUUUUGCAGGCCGAUUUCCCACAACACCUUUUUGGCAGUCUUAGAGAACUAGAGAUUGCUGCAGAUGACACAGCUUGUUUUCCAAUCUGGAACGUACUGGAGAGAUUUCACAAUCUCGAAAUACUCACACUGUCUGUUUUUUUCAUUCGACGAAGAGGUAUUUUCGAAGGAAGGAUGCUUGGAGAAACAUUUGGGGAAGUUGGCAAUGAUAAAAGAAUUAAAGCUGUACCGGCCCUAUCAUCUGAAGCAGCUGUGCAAACAAGAUUCCAAACUUGGCCCCAUUUUUCAGUAUCUUGAAAUUCUAGGAGUAUAUCAUAGUCAAAGUCUGUUAAUUCUAUUGCCAUCAUCAUCGGUAUCUUUUCGGAACCUAGCAAAACUUGUAGCUUUCGGUUGCAAGGAAUUGAUACACUUAGUAACAUCCUCCACAGCAAAAACUCUAGUGCGACUGGUCAAAGUGCAAGUAUAUGGAUGCAGAGCAAUGACAGAGGUGGUAAUAAAUGACAAAGAUGGAGUUGAAAAAGAAGAGAUUGUUUUCUGCAAAUUGAAGACGUUGCAACUGUUUGAUUUAGAUAGCCUCACAAGUUUCUGCUCUGCCAAUUACACCUUCAAAUUCCCAUCUUUGCAAGAGUUGUGGGUGAUUGGUUGUCCCAAGAUGAAGACUUUCACUACAGGAGAAUCAAUCACGCCUCUAAGAGUAAACGUCUGCUAUGGAGAGACAUCGAAUCAACGGCGUUGGGCUAAUAAUGAUCUAAACACAACCAUACAACAAUUACAUGCUGAGAAGGUACGUAUAUACAUAUUACUCUCUAUCUCCCAUGAUAAUUUUUUACAAAAUUUGCUUUCUUAAAUACAAUAUAGAUAAGAUAUUUGAUGAAUAAGAAUUUUACUUUCAGCUGUUGGCGGUGUCGUCGUCAUACUCUACGCAGUACGACUAAUUUCAUAGGCUUCUUAUGACUUGGAGUUGCAAAUUUUUAGAAGAAAGUCUCAACUGGUAAUUAAUUUUUAUUUCAUUUAUUUAAUCCCAUGGCUUGUUUCGCAAUUUCAUCUGAAUUAUUUAGAAUGGGUCCCUCGGUUUACUGUUAAAUUUGCAAUGCAAUUUUAAUGAUCCUUUCAGACUUUUAUGGACAGAUUUUGCAUAGUUGAAUGUCUUUUUAGUCUACUUUAAUUUGAGUUUUUCAUUUUUUUUUUAGAGCUCCCCUUGUUUUCUAAAAUUUUAUAAUUCCUUGCAUACUUUUUAUGAUAAAAUUUCAUUAAAAGCCUUCAUAUUUUAUAAUUCAUUGAAAACGUGCAUACUUUUUCCUUUUUUUUCUUUGCCAAUUAUUUAUUGUCAUCAUUGCUGUUCUUUUAUUUUAGUUUGUGCUCUGUUUGUUCAUUGGGUUUGCUUUUCGGAAAGUUAGAAGGCAAGGAAAGUACUUAGAAAAUGUUCUUCCCUAUGAACACAUAAUUCACAGCUGAAUAUCAUUCAUUGGAUUCAAAAAAAUUAAAAUAAAAAAAAAAAGUAAUCAGCCCAUUAUUCCCAGAACAAAUCCUUAAACCAUCAAACGUUAGCUAUGAACAAGUAUAUUGGUCUAUAGCAUAUUCAUAAUAUUUUUUCUGCUGUUCUGGUUAAAAUUUCUCUACUCUGUGAUUGCAGAAUGUCUGGAUACUGAUGAAGAUUUAAGUCACUCUUCUUCUGUGAAUAAGGUCGUUUUUCUUUUUUCCUCUAUUCAAAAUUUCCAUUCUGAGGGGUUCCCAUUUCCAUCUUCGUGAUCUUCUUGUGAUAGUAUGAGUUACAACCUGUCUGUUUCCUUUAUUUGAUCAUCGCAAGUUCAAAGACAUUUUAUUCUAGCUAAGCUCUUUGUAUGUAUUAUAACAUUUUUAUUCUCAAUAUAUAGAACUCAAUGAGAGGUCUUUUAUUAUACAUGUGUCAUGAAUUUCUAUUGUAUUUUGAGAUUUGAUGGUGUGUUAUCGUCCCAUUGCAAGGUCUUGUAAUCACUCUGAUUCUCAUUUGAGGAGGUUGGUCUCGUCUAUGUGUAUGUAUUUAUAUCCACAAGAAAUUUGAUAAAUGGUCUGGUCAUUUUCUCAUUAAAACAUCUAGUGCUUCAUAUGUUGGAGGGCUACCAGGCAUCAGGGCCAGAUUUUUAAACUCUUCUUCGUGUCAUUUUUUAACAAUAAUAAGGAAGCCCAAGAGAAAAUCUAGAAGUCCUAAUAAGGACCGCUUCUGUAUUGUUCAUUUUCUUAAUUACCUUCAUUAUUAUUUUCGUUUUCAGUUGAUCAAACUUCAGUUCCUUAGCAUUAAUCUAAUUAUGUACUUCAUCUAGAAAUCCUUAAUUUACUCAUCAAAAUGUGAACGCUUAGAAAACUAAGGCAAUAAAUAUAAAGGUACUACCUAAGUUUAUCAUCACAUAUGAUCACCACUUGAUAAUCAAAUAAUCAUAAAAGCAUAUAAAUUCAAAUUAGUGUAUCAUUUACACUAUAAGAAAUAGUUGUAUUACCGACCAGACAUUUCCACAAUAUACUUUUUACACUAUAAAUGCUUUUGAUGGGCUUCAUCUUUGGUUUCGGCUUCGCCGACAAAUAUCUCACAAACAUUCUGCCUUCAAGCAACAACACAACUCCCACUCUAAAUGUAUUUUAUACACUCUCAAACGCACCGUUUUGAUUUGUGUUAUAAAUUUGACGCUGCCAUUGUUUUUUUGUUUUUGACAGGCAUGGCUUUUCUUUUUAAGCCUUUCCUUUUAUCUUUUAUAGCCAUCUUCCACAUCAUUUCUCUUCCAAGUAAUCUUAAGAAAUAUUUCUGUUCUUCUUCCAAGUAAUCUUAUCAUUUCUCUCAUUUUAUUCGUUCUUCUCUUUUCAAGUCUUCAAUCUUAUACUCAGUAAAUAUAUUAAACUGCUUUUUCACUUCAGUUCCAGACAACUGAGAAGGUGUUUGUCCCUACUCUCUAGUUUUAUUCAAAGACACUAUAUUUUCGAAACCUAUGAUUUGUUGGGAAAAAUCGACGGUGACCCACGUGACAAAAUUUUCUACUAUGUAUCAACCAAUUAGAUCCAGUGCUUUGUUGGCAAACAAGACAUGCUUAUUUACCUUUAAUACUCCACCCAGACAAGUUGCCACUGAUAGUUCAUAACAAUGCUACGUGUAACUUGAACAUUUGAUUACGUGAUGUACUGUAUCAUUCCAACCAUAUCAUCAUCAGCCACUUCCCUUAUAACGAAAUAUAGAUUACAACACUUAUCAAGAAGGACAAUAAAUUCUUGUACCACCAACAACAUUCUCAAAUACAAAAUCUAUAAAUUUUUCAACGCCAUCAGUAUAUGACUUGGAUAUCUAUUUGGCAAACCAACCCAACACUUGUCCAUGACUAUCUCCUUUUAAUGCGCUAAAAAAAUUAGUUCUUCAUUUCUACUACUAAACAAGAUAUUUUCGUGUGUGCACAGUUUUGCAAUAUAAUAAAAAGAUCAUUUUACAAUUUUAUGGUUAAUUUCAUUAGAAUUUACAUAUAUGAAAGCAAACAAAGCCACAAGAAUCAGAGAAAAAGAUGUGACAAUCAAAGUAUAUAAUCAACGAUAAUUAAUGUAAAAAACAGUUUCCAAUACCUUCUGUAAAGAAAUAUCCUUGCCAAGUGCUGAGAACUUCACUUGGCUAUCAAUUACAGAUAUAUAAAGCCUGUAACCUAGAAACAAAAAAUUAGGUCAGCAAGUCCUGAAACAUUUUUAUAAACCAACAUUGGAGAUAGCACUCCAUUUACAAACAAAAUUACAAGCUCAAAACCAAGGUCAACUCAGCAAAAUCAUCACCAAUUACAUUCAUCCAACUCAGCUCCUACACUACCCUCAAUAUAUCCAACAUUCCCUUCAUAUUUACCAACCGUAAGUAAUCCUACAUAUCCCACUCAAGAAUGCGUAAGUAUUUUCAAUCUCAAGUACCUAAAGUUUUAUUCUACAUUUAUAAAAAUUUCAGCACCAUCUCCCUAUAAUUCUCCAAGCACGCGACAUAGCUAUAUAAGUGUUUAUGCGUUAUGCCAAAACAACACAACACCCAUUCACCUAGUACGUUCCCAGAGAACACGAGGAGCAGCUACUGAAAAACCCAUUUUUACGUGGGAAGAAACUUCAGCUACUAGCUACCAGAGAGAAGUAUGCAUUCCCAAACUGUCCAAGCCCGGACAAUUCAAGAAUUAUUAAUAGACAUAUGAUCCUCACUAUCAUCCAAAUAUGACACUAAUAAAACAUGUGUCUAUUAAUAAUUUCUUAAACAAGUCUAAGCUUUUAAUGCACGUAUCAAAAGUUUAAAAUUGAAUCUGAAAUUUGAAUAACACAUAAAUAUCAUAAAUCUUUUCAAGUUAUUCCUGAUACAAUGUAGGCAUGUAGCAUUAUUUCACAUAUCAUUUCUUAAGCAAAACCAUAAAAAAAUACAAAUGAUAAAUACAUUUUCGUACUGAUGCAGAUUAUGUUUACUGAGCAAUAAGUUUUAAGUCAUUCAUGUUGAAAUACUUCUUCCUAUUCUUUCAACAUAUAACUAGUACGUACACACAAUUAAUAAAUAAAUAAAUAACCUGGUGGUGAAUCUUGCAAAAUCUUCCUUUUUUUUGUGGGGGGGGGGGGGGGGGGGGGGGGGGGGGGGGGGGGGGGGGGGGGGGGGGGGGGGUGGGGGCGCUAUGAAUCUUGCAAAUCCUCGGGAAGCCAUGUUAAGACAAGGCCAGCUUACUAUUAGGGUAUGAAAGAUAAAACCUUUUAUUUCCUUUUCAGAAUAAAAAGGACAUUGACAGUGUUAAAAAAAAUCUAGAGGAUUUCAGGCCUCCAGAUCCUUACAAAUCAAGGAUAUUAAAAAAAAUUACUUAGAGGAGAAAGGUUAUGCUCAUUUGUAUCUUGUUAGAAGAAAUUGAUCCAAAGCCUCAGUUUUAAUUUGCUUCAUACAGCCAAUGACUAGGUGUUUAAAAACCAAUGAAUAUUUUUAUAAGAAAUCAACAAUAUUGUUGAAAGAAAAACCAAAUAAAAAUAAUAAAGCCAAUGAAUAGAUCAAGGCUCUUUAUGGUCUAAUAACUAAUCAAACUAAGUUGUGGGCAAAGGCGAAUAUGUUUGUUUGGUCGAAAAUAAGCUCAACAAAUCACUAAUAAUCACCUAAUCACUAUUCUUUAUGCUAUGCAAUAUAAUGGCCUGGGUAAUGGCGCCAAGGCAGAAAAUAACUAGCUAGCCAGUUAUGAUAGUUGAUUAACUUAACCUACUGGAAAUCCGAAGACCAAAACGAAGAAGCUUUGCCUAGAACUAGAAUAGGAACAUUCAUACCCAAAACUAAUAUACACGAUUAAGAAACUUGAUUAUAUGUAUAUUUCUGUUGGCCACACUGAAAGAGAAUUUUCAAAAGAUGCUAAGGUACACCAAAUCCCACUAUUUCAUACUCAUAAACACAAAAAACCAAGGAAAAAAUUAAUGACUAUAUAAAAUAAAAUCGGUCAUAGGACAUUGAGAUUAGGACAACUUGAUUUGUAUACCGUAAAAUAACUAUAUCUGCAUAGUGAACUAUAUUUCUGUUAGAACUCUGAAGUUUUCUAUUAAAUUUUUUUCUCUGUUAGGUAAACCACUUAACUGAAAUGCUUAAGCCAAUAUUGACAAUCAUAGACAUAAAAGUAUUAAUAGGCUCAUUCAAGUGAAAUGAGCAUUAUUUUACACAUCCUUUAGGAUUUUAAGUCAUUUAGAAGUCAUUCAUGUUAAAAAAAAAAAAAAUUCAUAUACUUUCAAUAUAAUUAGUACAUACACAAUUAAUUAAUUAAAUAAAUCUGUUUCAGCUAGUAUAGGAACUUAAUUAAUCAAAGCUAGUAGUUAUAGCUAGGACUUGAACGAGGCACCUUUCAAAGUUCAAGAAGAGCAUCUGAACAGAAUGAAAGCACUUUGUAGAAAUGAUAAUGAUGCUUUACACAAUAUGAACUUUCAUUUAUUCAAGAACAUAACACUACUCCAAGCUCUUAUUCUACGAGUCAAUCCAGUUUGUAGAUGCACGCCAUUGUAAAAGCUUUUGUAUUAUAAUUUCUGAAAAUAGAACAUAACAUUAUUAAUAUAGAAUCAGCAAUGUAUAUAACUUAUCAGACAAUAUAACAAGCACUUGGUGAGCAUACAAGAUAAACCAAAACAAGUUAUCUAGAAAAUGAAACUAAAACCCAAGCUCCGCUAUUCAUUGUAGAUGCUUUAAACAUAAAAUUAAACUAAAUCUAAUAGCAAAACAUUAGAAUGGAUGUUGGAAUUAAAGCUAAAUUCAAUAGUAAUUCAAAUGAAUCCAUUUGAACUUUGUAAAUUCCGCAGAACAAAAUUAAUUUGAGUGAGCAAACUCACCAAUGGAACAAGAACGCAGGGGCUUCAACUUGUACGAAUAAAAAAAUAUUGCUGGCGGGACAAAAAUUGACAAUAACGGCUACAAUACGAAUUAAAAAAAAUCAAAGUCUAUAAUUACAAGUUAAGUAAGAGAAGAAACUCAUAAUCACAAGCUUACCUCAAAAGAUGAAGGGAGAAUACGAUGAAGAAGAAGAUGCCCGGCGUUUUACGCCGUUCGCUGGCAACCAGUUAUGUUUACGAUGGUGGCCAGUAACACGGACUCCAGCGAAUACUUUUCUAACUGGAAAUAAAUUUAAAAUUCUAAAAUAUUAGUAUACCGAACGGCUCUUCACCGUCACGCAGUUCGUAACAUAUGUGACAGCAGUGUGGCCGUCACAUAAAGGGUAACAAAAGCAACUCGGGGUUACAGAGUUAGAAGUUAGUGAUAUGCGUAAUGGCUGCUUUUGCAUUCACAUUAGGGGUCACAUAUACCCUAUUUUCUUGUAGUACAUGGUAAAUUCUAUUUGAAAAUUGCUCAGUAUUUUAGAUUUGUACGAAAUCAUUUUUGUGUGCUCGUUGGAUAAUAAUAUAUAAUAAAUUAAAAUUUUAGUGUAAUUUUCACAAUAUUGUAUUAGAAAUAUGUCUCGUUGAAAGGUUUUGAAAUCGUUUGAUUGAUCAUAAUUGUUAUUUCGACAGUUGCAAAAGAUGCCAGAGAAAAUUUGAUUAUCUUAAGAAAUGAGUGCAUGAGAUAUGAAAUCAACCAUACCAUAAAAUCAAAUUUUAUCGUUUCAUUCUUCCUGGUUCAAAUUUAUGGAAACAAUAAUCAAAUGCACCCAUGAACUAGUAUAUUCCGACAUAUGUACCAUCAAAUUUUUGCUAUAUCAUACUUAUAUAUGUAUAUUGAAAUUUUAAUAACAACAAUUGGGCCAAGCGUAUGUUGGUACUUGAAGAUUUAUAAGCUCCAUCCUUGAAAAAAUAAGGCUUGAUUGUUCUCAAUCUAAUUCUUUUUGUUUUAAGUUCUUAAUUAAGCUUUCUUGCUUGUUUUCAAGAGCCAGUUUUGUAGUGAUCGAAAAACAUGAUUUGCAUGUAAUGCACUUGGCAUUUAUGCGUCACUUAUUAAUUAGAUUUAAAUUUUAUAAAUUAGUUAAGCUGAUUAAUACUGUGCAUGUGCACUAAAUGAUAAAUACUACAUAAAUUGGUAGGAGUGGGCAAAACCGGGUUCGGGUCGGGUCGGGUUCGGAUCAACCCGAUCGGAUUUCGGGUUGUUCGGGUUUAACAAAAAUUAAUCCGAAUACAACCCGAACUUCCCACCCGACCCGAUCCGAUCCGAUUUAUAUUCGGAUUGGGUCAGGUCGGGUUGUGAAUUCAGGUUGAAAUCGGGUAGGAUCGGGUUGACCAAUUUCCUUGAUUUUGUUACUACCAUUUAAAAACACAUAAUUACAACAAUUAAAUACUAAAUAUUAAUUGUUUAAUUUAACCAUAUGCACCAUCAAUUCAAAUCUUUAAAAAAAAAAGCUUAAAAAAAGCGUGAAAACUCAAGAUUCAAAGUCAAAGGUGAGAAGCUCGGGUUGAAGGAUUGGAGCAGCAGAAGCACCUUGCAGCAGAUUCGCGGCACUUGCAGUAGAUCGGUGGCCGCGGCACUUGUAGCAGCAGACCGACGGACGCGUAGUAGCAUAUUGGCGGCACUUGCAGCAAAUCGGGCAUGGAGACGCGCGGCAAAUCGGCCAUGGAGAUGCGGGUGAGGCUGUGACUUGUGCAACGACCUCCGUUGGCAGCUUGGCGUUGGCCCAACGCCGUUGGGGGUGACUGUGUAUGUGUUUUGUGUAUUGAGAUUGGGGAUUGUGUAAUGAGAUUGGGGAUUGAGGAGAGUUGUGAGUGUUUGUGUAAGUAACCGUGUGUUGUGAAAAUGGGAAUUGUGAUUUGUGUGUGCUGCGUGUGUGUGGCUGUUUGCUUUAGGUUUAGUUUUUUUUUUUUAUAGCAACCCGAUCGGGUUUCGGAUCGGAUCGAACCCAAUCCGAUCAUAACCCGAUCGGGUUUCAUUGUUUUGAUCCGAUCGGGUUUUCUGCACAACCCCAUCCGAUCCGAACCUGAAAUUUUUCGGGUCGGGUCGGGUCGGAUCGGGUAAUUUGCCCACCCCUAUAAAUUGGGACACUAGUAACUAUGCAUCCCAACCAUGUAAUAUUUAUUUGUCACGAAACCAACCACGACAUGAUAUUCUUAAUAUUAUUUAGGAUACCAUUUCAAGCCCCAUGAGGGCUCCUUCCGUUAAAUAAAAAAAAAAGGUAUGAAAUAGGUGUAGAUUUUACUUUAGAUAUUAUUAGUGAGAGUACCUUUGGUGGCAAUGGUCCGAGAUGAUUUGGGAUUUGACCAUUCUACUCUCAUCUUAAUUAUCAAAUGGAAUGUAAGUAUGGAUAAACUCGUCCUGUUUAUAUAUUUGUGAUCAAAAUUAGGACCAAUCUCAAACCCCUCACAAUCAUUUAUAUUAUUGCACCAGUUUAACAAUAAGAUUUACGAAACACAUACGACUGUUUUUAUAACUAAAAGUAUUUUUAAGCUACAAGAUUACCAAAAUGACCCUAAAUCAAACCAAUAAAAAUGUUUUAAAGUAAUAAUAAUAAACCAGAGUAAACGUACAAAAAUUCAUGCAUAAAUUGAUAAUCAACAAAAACAUCCAAAAGUUUAACUCCAAGUUUUCUAUUCAAUUGACAUAACCCUUAAAUUUCAAAAGGUAUAAUCAAUUUUGUGUCUAAUCCUAUAAAAUUAGAAAAUUAAAGAAUAUUAUAUAUUGAUAAUUAAAUAAUAUGCAAUUAAUAAUGUUUAAAAAAAUAAUGUUAAACAUAUUGUCAACUAAAAUAAUUGGGAGAAUUGGAGUUCCAAGAUAAAUUCUUAUCUAGUCCCAAAUCAACAAUUGUGAUUAAUUUCAAUCUUAAACUUUGAAACUCGGACUGCUUUUAAAAUUGGUCCUAAUAAUAUGGACAAAUCCCAUUCUGAUCAAUAUGGAAUCCCAAUCCAUACCUUUGGAUUUCGAUGGUGUUUAGUUGGAGGGAGGAGAGGAAGGAAAUGAAUUCAAAUUCCUUUCACUUUCCUGUUGUUUGGUUUUCACUAAUAAAUGGGAAUUCAAUUUCUAUUGAAAUUUAAUUUUCAUCAAAUUGUGCAUUUUGGAUUCCUCACCGAAGGCUGUAAAAUUCAAAUUCCCUUUCUAUUAGAAAUCGAAUCUUCCAAAAUUGCUCCAAUCAAAUUUUUAUCAAUUAUUUUAAUUAUUAUCAAAUAAUUCUUAUUUAUGAUUUUAUUUUUUCAAUUUAAAUUGUCACUAAGGAGUCGGACUUACUACCACAGAAAAGAAAAAAAAUAAUUUAGUCAGCUGAACUAAUUUUUGUUUUUUUUUUUUUUUAUUAACUUUGAAAUAUUGCAUACAUAACGAGCUGCUAUUGAAAUUAGUGUUAAAAAAAAAAUAGAUGCAAAAGGAGAAACAAGCAUCAUGUGCAGUACCCACUGUGAAAUAUUCACAUUGGAAUAAGUCGUUGGCAGCUGGUCUGUUUGGCCAUUAAUAUUUUGACAUUCAAUGUUCAUUAUGAUCCUAGUAAAUUAAGCCAUAAAAAAUCUAUUGAAAUUACUCACCGUACAAUGAUGGUUGGAGCUGCAUGUAUCAUUUAUUGUUAACAACAAACUUAUGAAAUGCUUUGAAUGUACCUCCGAGGUUGUAUUUACUAUACUAGUUAGGAGAAAUUACGAAGUUAAAUUAUUUGAUAAAUACUUAUUAUAAUUUGAAAAAUAUGUUAAUUUUGUCCUCCACUUUAUGAUAAAAAAUUUAUAAUAUAUAUAAAUCAUUCAUUCUAUAAUCUUGAAUUUUAUUAAAGUUAGAAAAACUAUUACUCUACAUGAUAUAAUAGUGUGAUGUUAUUACACUAUUAUACCAUAUAAAAUAUAUUUACUUUCUUAAAUUUUAAUAAAGUCUAGGUCUUGGAGAGAAGCACUUUAUAUAUAUAUGUAUAUAUGAUUAUUGUCUAGUGACAACAUUCUCAUUUUAACAAAGUGAUGAUAUAUCUAACUAAAAAACGCAUAUUUCAAUACACCAAUAGAUUAAAAAAAAUACAGUUUUUAAUAUGUUAAAAUCUAUAUAUUUUGUAUUAUUAAUAUUUUCACUUUAACAAAGUGGGGUCUCCUCACUAUAGAAGUACUUUAUAAAUAUUCUUUAUAUUUUUGUGAAAAUUAUUAUUUAAAAGUCAUAUUUUCCUAAAAACUAAUAACUUUUAUUUUAUUACUAUGCUGUACUUUUCAAGACAUAACACCUCAAUACCAUGACGUUAAUUAUUGAACUCUGCUGUACAAAGUUGUUGGCUGGUCUAUUUAGCUUAGUCUUUCAAUUAUUUGUCGUUUGAACUGAGAUGAUUCGAAUAAAGCUGUAUAUCAAUAAUUUCCUAGUGAAACUUCGAGAAAAAAUAAAAAUCAUGUCAUACAGUAGCAUUAUUUUUAUUUUCAGCUUGAUUAUGUUUUGAGUUAACUUAUAGAUUAUUUGAAAUAAAAAGAAUAUAAUUUAUUUUUUCUAACUAAAUAUUUUUAAAUAAUUUUGUUAAUUUAAUGAGUAAUUAUACACUUACAAAGUUAUGAUAUAAAAUUAUAUCCCUGAAUCCCAAUCAUAUGACACCAAUUAACUACUGCUAUGUGUUUCUUAGUAUUUAACUUUUUAUACUAUUAUUAAUGAGAUAAUUAUCUUCAACACCAAUAAAUAAAUUUUAUAUUAAUACAUCCUCUGACUUUAUUAUCAAAUGAUUAUAAAUCAUAAUCAAACCAAGCUACCAAAGCCUACUACUAAGAGAUUGAUUAAAGGGUUUUCCAAGAUUUCAAAUUGGAUGAAACUAUGGUGCAACGGUUGCACCGUACUACUCAAUUUUGUCUUUUUCAAUUAAUUACAUCUCAAUACCUAUAUUUUAUAAAAAAGUUGAAUAGACACUAGAAGUUACAAUUUUUUAUAUAUGAGUCCUCUUUUGGGAUAAAAAUGGAUUUUAAAAAAAUUUAACUGUUACUAUUAUUAAUAUUUAUAAAUUUCAUUAUUAUUAUAUUAAUAUUAUUGUUAUUAUUAUUAAAAUUUAUUAUUUUAAUUAUUGUCAUGUAUUAUUAUUACUACCAUAAAUGUCAUCAUUAUUAAUAUUAUUAUUAUCAUUAAAAUUUAUUAUUUUAUUAUUUUAAUUAUUAUGUAUUAUUAUUACUGUCAUUAAUUAUUAUUAUUAUGAAAUUAAUUUAUUUUAUUAUUUUAUUGUUACAAUUACUUUAAUUAAGUCAUUAUUAUUAUUUUAUUAAUUUUAUUACUAUUAUUAAAUAUAUUAACUUUAUUAUUUUAAUCAUGAUUAAUUAUUGUUAUUAUUAUUUUAUUAAUAGUAAUAUUAUUAAAAUUAUUAAUUUUAAUAUUUUAAUUAUUGUCAUGUAUUAUUAUUACUACCAUAAAUGUCAUCAUUAUUAAUAUUAAUAAUAAUAUUAUUAUUAUCAUUAAAAUUUAUUAUUUUAUUAUUUUAAUUAUUAUGUAUUAUUACUAGGGGUGGGCACGGUUCGGUUCGGUUUGGUUCGGUUCGGAUCGAAAUUAAGUAGAACCGAUUUAAAUCGGUUAUUUUAUAAAAAGAACCGAAUAAGAACCGAACUCAAACGGAUCUUUUCGGAUCGGUUCGGUUCGGUUCGGUUUUUUGGUUCUAGGUCUAUUAGGCCUAUUUUAAAAUUUCAAAUUUUUAGCCCAUUGGACCUCAUAAAUGUAAUAAUUGUUUUCAACAAUUAGUUCAUCCUAAUUUCAUUACAAAUAUUAACAAUAAAUACAAAGUAUUCAAAACACAUUUUAUCACUAAUAUCUUAUUAACUACUAAUAAGGUACUCACAAAAUAUGAAAUAUUAAAAUUUCAAAAUACAUAACCAAACUCCAAUACUCCAUCUACAUAAACAUAAUCAUAAUGUUGUAAAGACAAAUAAAAAUAACAACAAUUACAACUUACAACACAAAAUAAAAAGAAAAUUUAGAAACAAACGCCAACAACAUUCUCCCAUCUUCACCCAAAAAAAAAAAUUGCAAACAAAUGCCAACAACAUUCUCCCAUCUUCAUGAAUAUCAACAUCAACUUUAGGCAUUUUCGACUCAAUAUUUGGAUUUAUAAAAAAAAAUUUAACACAUGUCGAUUUGAAUAAAAUAUAAAAUUAAUUCGGUUUUUCGGUUCAGCUAAGUGAACCGAAUACCGAACCGACAUUUCGGUUUUUUUUUACAAAUGAUAUAUUUCGGUUUUUUUUAAAAUAAAAACCGAUCCAAAUUCGAAAAAACCACCGGUUCGGUUCGGUGUUUUUAAGACCACGGUUUUUUUGCCCACCCCUAAUUAUUACUGUCAUUAAUUAUUAUUAUUAUUAUGAAAUUAAUUAAUUUUAUUAUUUUAUUGUUACAAUUACUUUAAUUAAGUCAUUAUUAAUUAUUAAUUUUAUUACUAUUAUUAAAAAUAUAUUGGCUUUAUUAUUUUAAUCAUUAUUAAUUAUUGUUAUUAUUAUUUUAUUAAUAGUAAUAUUAUUAAAAUUAUUUAAUUUUAAUAUUUUAAUUAUUGUCAUGUAUUAUUAUUACUACCAUAAAUGUCAUCAUUAUUAAUAUUAUUAUGAAAUUACUUAUUUUACUCAUUAUUAAUUAUUAUUAUCAUUAAAAUUUAUUAUUUAUUAUUUUAAUUAUUAUGCAUUAUUAUUGCUGUCAUUAAUUAUUAUUAUUAUGAAAUUAAUUAAUUUUAUUAUUUUAAUUGUUACAAUUACUUUAAUUAAGUUAUUAUUAUUUAUUAAUUUUAUUACUAUUAUUAAAAUAUAUUAACUUUAUUAUUAUUAUUAUUAUUAUUAUUAUUAUUAUUAUUAUUAUUAUUAUCAUUAAAAUUUAUUAUUUAUUAUUUUAAUUAUUAUGCAUUAUUAUUGCUGUCAUUAAUUAAUAUUAUUAUUAUUAUAAAAUUAAUUAAUUUUAUUAUUUUAAUUGUUACAAUUAUUUUAAUUAAGUUAUUAUUAUUUAUUAAUUUUAUUACUAUUAUUAAAAUAUAUUAACUUUAUUAUUAUUAUUAUUAUUAUCAUUAAAAUUUAUUAUUUAUUAUUUUAAUUAUUAUGCAUUAUUAUUGCUGUCAUUAAUUAAUAUUAUUAUUAUUAUAAAAUUAAUUAAUUUUAUUAUUUUAAUUGUUACAAUUACUUUAAUUAAGUUAUUUUUAUUUAUUAAUUUUAUUACUAUUAUUAAAAUAUAUUAACUUUAUCAUUUUAAUUAUUAUUAUUAUUUUAUUAAUAGUAAUAUUAUUAAAAUUUAUUAUUCUAAUUAUUAUAUUAUUAUUAAUGUUGUCAACAUCAUCAUCAUCAACAUUAUUAAAGUUUACAUAUUUUUUUGUUUUAAGUAAUAUUAUUGUCAUUAUUAUUAUUUUACCUUAAGUAAAUAUUUAAAAACUUUUAGUUUUUAUGAUUUUGUAACUUACGGUCAGACUGUGAAAUAGUUAGAUAAUCAUUAAUUAUUAUUAUUAUUAACAAUUUAAUAAAAAUAUUAUUAAUUAUUGUUAAUAGAUUAAUUAAUUAUAAUGUUUUUUAUUCUUGUAUUAAUAAUAAAAAUAAUCUAUUUAAAAAAUAUUUAUGAUUAUAAUAAAAUAACAAUUAUAAUUAUAAUUCAUUUAACAAUAAUUAUAUUUUUUAAAUAAUGGAGGUUAUUUGGAAAAUUUAAAAUUAUAGGGGCAAAUUCAUACUCUAGGGUUUUAAUAAAAUAAAAUUGAGUAUAAGGGGUUAAACGAAAUUUUAUAUUUCAAAAAGUUUAUAAUAUUCAUGAAUAAAAUAUAAAUAACAUAGAAUAUGGGGGGUUAUAUAAAAUUUCACAGGCUGACCGUAAGUUACGUUAAAUGUAUAACUUAGGCGGACCUUUAGUGAAAUGCACAAAUGGCACAAGGGACCCCGCCAACCGUUAAGUCACAUCAUUUAUUUAUUUGUGAAUGAAAAAUAAGGUCCUUAUGCUAGUUUGACGAUUAUAAGUUAUCAUCACAAGGUUGUUGGGCGCAUGCAUACUGAGUCACAGCACUGAGAUUCAACUUUUCUGUACAAUAAGAGUUUAUUUGUCUUUUUGUAUUGGGAUAAAAUGGAUCUCCCUCCAACUUUAAGUAAGGCUUAAUAUUCAGGCUGUGCUGUAAUAGAAUUAUUGAGGAGAGUUUCAUUUUUUAUUGUAAAUAUCAGUAGAGCUCUCAUUGUAAUAUAUCAGUCUAUCAAAAAAAAGUUAUCAUCCCAAUAACUUUGGACUUUGAUAUUAAUUUUACUAAUUAUGAAAUUCAUUAUCUAAUAAAAAAAAUAACACAUAACAAUUGGGUCUCAAAUUAGAAUUCUACUAUCGAAAUUCCUAGCAUUAUUCUAAUAUUAAAAAUUCAUCAAAAUAAUAUCUAUUAUCUAAAAAAAUAAAAUAAAAAUCUAAAGCCAUAGAUUUACUUUUCAAUCUUCCUGAUUUGGCUGAUUUCUUUUAAAGCUUUGGUUUCUUUAUAUUUUUAUCGAUCAUUUUAGCGGUGCUGGCAUUUGAUUUUUUUGACUAAGCUACUGUUUAGUUCUAAGUUUUGGCAAUUGCCCGGACUGCUCUGUUUUGUGUAUCUUCGACACAACAAGGCUUAGCAUCUAAAUGUCGGCAGCCACGCAACUUCUUGGAAUCUUCGUGCAAGUGUUGGAUAUCGACUGUUCGAUAAUGAUGGCAGCAUGGGACUGGAGUGUAAUUGACGCAGUGGAAUAAAGAUCACAUGUCUCAAACUUUUGGCGAAGAUAUUGUCAGAUAUUUUAUUGAUUAAGGAUCACAAAUAAUGGAUAUUGGAUGAGAAUCACAUGCUUUACCACAAUCGUAAUGUUACUAAUGUAAGUCAAGCAAUUAUUUUUAAAUAAUGAUAUUAUAAUUAAAAAAUAAAUAAAUAUUUAUAAUAUUUAAAAGAGUAAUUCCGAUUAUUAAUUUUUUUAUAUUACUUAAUUAUUAGCUGACAAAUAAUUAAAAGGUUAUAGAACAGGACUCAGCUACCUUACAACAGUUGCAAGGUACCACCAAAUUUUGACUUUUCUUAAUUUCAGUUUUUUAUCAUUAGAUUUAAUGAAAAGGUGGUUUCAAUGGUAGAGAUUUGUUCAUUUAAAUAUUAACAUUACACUCCUUGAUAUUUAUUAAAGACACAAACAAGUUAAAGAGUUUAAAAUUUUAACACAUAAGUCCGGAUUGUUUACAAUUUAUAUUGUUUAAUUAGUAGUGAGUAUUAAAAAAUAAAUAUUAUUUUUAAUAUUAUAUAUUUUAUUUAAAAGAAUAAAUAAAUAUUAUUUAAUAUUAUUUAUUCCAUUUUAUUUAAUAUUAUUUAGUCAUAUACUUAUUAUUAUAUUUAUUCUUUCAAAAAACUAAAUAACAUUAAAUAAAAUAAAAUAAUCAUUAGGGCGCUUUAAAAAUAAAUAUUAUUUUUAUUUUUGUUUUAUUUAAUCAUUGGCUUAUUAUUAUAUUUAUUAUUUUAAAAAAUAAAUAAUAUUAAGUAAAAUAAAAUAAUCAAUAAUGACUGUUAAAAUUAAUAUUAUUUUUACUUAGUCAUAGGCUUAUAAUUAUAUUUAUUCUUUAAAAACUGAAUAAUAUUAAAAAAUCAAUAGUGUCUUAAAAAUAAUAUCAUUUUAAUAUUAUUUAUUUUAUUUAAGUUAAAUUUUAAUAUUAUUUAUUUUAUUUAAGUUAAAAUUUUAAUAUUAUUUAUUUAAUUUAAAUUUUUUAAUAUUAUUUAUUUUAUUUAAUAUUAUUUAGUCAUAGGCUUAUUAUUAUAUUUAUUCUUUUUUAUAAAGAUAAAUAAUGUUAAAUAAAAUAAAAUUACAUUUUAUAAAAGUUACCAGCGAAAGCAUACAAAAUUAUAAAUAAAUGUAAAAAAAUAAAUAAUAUUAAAUAAAAUAAAAUUACAUUUUAAAAUGUCACUAGCUAAAACAUAUAAACUUAUAAAUAAAAUGUAAAUAAGAAAGAAAGUAAGGUAUUAAAUGAAAUGUAACGUCACAUAAAACAAAAAUAAGUGGCACAUUACAACUGUUGCAAGAUAGCUGGACUCAUAAAACAAUAUUUUUAGGUCAAAUUUUUAUUCUGAUACGACACAACUUGUACUUUCAUUCCUAUGCUAAAAUAUAUCUAACCUACUAAUAGUCAAGAAAUAUAUCUAUUCAACACAUAUUUGUUAGAAAGAUUAUCUACUAAUUAAUCAUUGAGACGAGAUUACGAGCCUCAACAUAAAUUAGGAUAAAAAUUAAUAUAUUGAAAUUCAUAAUUUUUUUUUUCCUUCAGCAGUUUAAAAUGGAGUCGCCCACUAGUACUGAAAUAAUUUUAUCAGAUUCGCUUGAAAGUAGUUUUACAAGCAAGCAGUUUUUCCCUCUUGAUCCCCGUAAUCGUCAGCUCCUACUCUUUGCCUUCAAUUCUCAGUCAAGAAAACCUCUCCUGAUUUUCGUCUUUUGAUCUCAUACACACUUUGCUUCUGUUCAUCGUGGUCGCUGCUCGUGCUAGCCGUUUUCUUAUUUAGCUUUGUUCCCUUUUGCCAUCAGCUCUUCGCAUUUUCAUUGGAUCAAGCAACCCUUUUCUUGAUUCAAUUGUCUGAUCUCAAAAACACUUUGAUUCUCUUCUGUUACGCUGAUUUUCCCUUGUUUUGUACAAAUAUCAUUUCUUUUUUCAACUUUGCCUUGUUUUGCUUCUGCUUGAUUAUCAAUUGCGCGGCCGUUGACCCUGUUCUAUUUCUAUUUCGUUCACUUCCCCAAAAAAUAAAAAAUGGACAUUUUGAAAAGCAUUGUUCCAGGAGUUGUGAACUGCUUGUCUCCUCACGCACAACGCGAAUUUAGUUAUUGGUAUAACUCCGCUGCCAACUUUGAGAAUCUCAAGGCAGAACUCGAUAGGCUCAAGGAUGAAAGAGAAAGCAUUCAGCGCAGAGUUUCUGAGGCUGAAAGAAAAGGUGAAAAGAUUGAAGAGAAGGUUGAGAAAUGGCUGGUUAAUGCGAACAAGAGCAUUGAGGAGGCAGCCAAAUUCAUUCAAGACGAAGAGAAAGCAAAUGAACGAUGUCUCAUGGGGCUGUUUCCAAAUUGGAUUACUCGCUAUCAGCAUGGAAAGAAAGCAGAAACAGAGAAGGAGGCCCUUUUUAAACUCCGAGAAGAAGCUGGGAGAUUUGAUGAUAGAAUUUCCUACCGUACCGUUCCGGAGGAUAUAUGGCUCAAGUCUCACAAAGGCUACGAGGCCUUCGAAUCAAGACUUUCUACUUUGAAGGCCAUACAAAAUGCAUUGAUCGAUGUUGAUGUCAGCAUCAUUGGGGUGUACGGCAUGGGCGGCGUUGGAAAGACGACACUGGUGAAGAAGGUCGCCAGGCAAGCUAUGGAAGACAAGCUCUUUGAUAUGGUGGUCUUUUCAGAGGUUUCGCAAACUCCAGACAUAAAAAAGAUUCAACAGGAAAUUGCCGAGAAGUUGGGCCUGGAGUUGCACGAGGAAGUUGAAUCUAGAAGAGCUAGUAGGCUAUGUGAGCGAUUGAGAAAUGAGAAGAAGAUCCUUGUGAUUCUGGAUAACAUCUGGAAACACCUUGAUUUGGAGACCGUUGGAAUUCCUUUUGGAGAAGAUCAUAAAGGAUGCAAACUACUGCUGACGACAAGAGAUCGUAGUGUCCUCUUGAAAAUGGGAUCUGAAGACAACUUUUUGAUAAACAAUUUAAAUGAAGAAGAAGCCGGGAGAUUGUUUAAGAUGAUGGCCGGUGAUGAUGUUGAAAAUCGUGAGUUGAAAUCUACAGCAAUAGACGUCGCCAGGGCAUGUGGAGGUUUGCCCAUUGCCUUGACUACAGUAGCAAAGGCAUUGAGAGGCAAGAGUCUGCAUGAAUGGAAGAAUUCCUUGCGAGAACUCCGAACGCCUUCAAUGGUAAACUUCGAAGGAGUGUCUGCAGAGACUUAUUCAAGUAUUGAACUGAGUUUCAAGUAUUUAAAAGGUGGGCAACUCAAGGAACUUUUUCAGCUCUGCAGUCUAAUGGGUAACAGUAUCCCUACUUUGAAAUUGCUUAAAUACUCCAUAGGUUUGGGUAUAUUUCAAGGAGUCAAUAAGGUGGAAGAUGCACGAAACAAGUUAUAUGCGUUGGUACAUGAACUUAGAGACUCUUGUUUGUUGCUUGAGGGUGAUAGCAAUAAACUAAUUUCAAUGCAUGAUGUUGUUCGCGAUGUCGCCAGAUCAAUUGCAUGCCGAGACCAACAUGUAUUUGUGGUGGAAAACGAGGAUGUGUGGGAGUUGCCAGAUAAGGAAUCACUAAAAAAAUGCUAUGCAAUCUCUAUAAGAUAUUGUUGCAUUCAUGAGCUUCCCAAUGCAUUGGAAUGUCCACAACUUGAGUUCUUGUGCAUGUCUCCCGAAGAUUCUUCUCUUGAAGUGAGUAUUCCUGAAAAUUUUUUUGUAGGGAUGAGAAAGCUUAAAGUUGUAGAUUUUACUGGAAUGCAGUUAUUUUCAUUGCCUUCUUCAAUUGAUCUCUUAGUAAAACUUAAAACACUUUGUCUUGAUGAAAGCAUUUUGAGAGACAUCGACAUAGCCAUUAUUGGAAAGUUGGAAACUCUAGAAAUCCUCAGCUUCGUGCGGUCUGAUACGGUGCAAUUGCCCAAAGCACUAGGUCAACUGACUAAGCUAAGGCUGUUAGAUUUAACAGACUGUUUCCAUCUAAAAGUUAUUGCUCCAAAUGUCAUAUCAAGCUUAAUCCGAUUAGAAGAAUUGUAUAUGUGUAAUUGCUCCAUUGAAUGGGAGGUUGAAAGAGCCAACAGCAAAAGAAGUAAUGCUAGCCUUGACGAAUUGAUGCAUUUACGUUGGCUAACCACUCUAGAAAUUGAUGUUAAAAAUGAGAGUAUGUUACCAGCAGGCUUUUUGGCCAGAAAGCUCGAAAGGUUCAAAAUAUCUAUUGGAAAUGGGUUAUUCAUGCAUCCCAUGCUUUUUGGACAACAUUGGUUUAAAAGUCAGCUGCACUUUUUGAUCGACAGUAAUCGCAAGAUUUCAAGAGAAUUGGAGCUCAAGCUUGAUUUUAUGGACAUUUGCUCCAUGAAAUUGCAGGGCAUCAAUAACGUUGAAUACUUACGGUUGGACAAGCUGCAAGGCAUCGAGAAUGUUCUUUUCAAUUUGGACACGGAGGGCUUUUCACAAUUGAAGGUCCUCUGCGUCCAAAAUAAUCCUGACUUCUUUUGUAUCGUCGAUUCAAGGGAGAUGGUCGCUUGUGAUGCCUUUCCUCUUUUGGAGUCACUUGCCCUUCACAAUUUGAUCAACAUGGAGAGGAUAUGUGUUGAUCGGCUCAAAGUAGAGUCUUUCAACGAACUCAAAAAUAUAGAAGUAUAUAAUUGUGAUAAGUUGAGUAAUAUCUUUUGGCUCUCUACUUCAAAAUGCCUUCCAAGACUUGAGAGAAUUGCAGUUAUUAAUUGCAGCAAGAUGAAAGAGAUUUUUGCAAUUGGGGAAGAAGUUGAUAAUGCAAUUGAGAAGAUAGAGUUUGUUCAAUUAAGAUCUUUGAGUCUGGGGAAUCUUCCAGAGGUUACAAGUUUUUGCCGCCGUGAGGUGGAGACUCCUUCAGCAUCACCGAACAGACAAGUGUCGCAAGAGGAAUCGACGACUACGUAUUGCUCCAGCGAAAUCACUUUGGAUACUUCAACUCUGCUUUUCAACGAGAAGGUGCGUAGGCUAACAUUUUCUUUAUAUAUAUAUAAUUAAAUCAUUUAAAGAAUUGAAAGAAAAUGGAAAAAGGAUAAAAAGAAUCUCACGCGCUCACUAAUUGAGCUCUUAACAAGUAGUAUGAAUUAGAAUGCAUACUCAGCUGUCAGUUGGAAAUUGAUUCAGACUUGAUUAAUUUGUAAUCAAAGAAGAAAAUUUCAACAAGUGCUUCCCCUAUAGAUAUUGGAUCUAACGAGAAAUUCUUAUUUUUUUAGGUUGCGUUGCCUAACUUGGAGGCUUUGGAGAUAUCUGAAAUUAAUGUCGACAAGAUUUGGCACUACAAUCAAAUUCCGGCGGCCGUGUUUCCUCACUUUCAAAGUUUAACAAGAUUGAUUGUGUGGCGUUGUCACAAAUUAAAAUACAUAUUUUCAGCGUCUAUGAUCGGAAGCCUCAAGCAGCUCCAACACCUAGAUAUACGAGACUGUAAGGAUUUACAGGAGAUCAUUUCUGAAAACAGAGCAGAUCAAGUGAUCCCUUAUUUUGUCUUUCCACAGCUCACCACUCUGAGACUCCAAGAUCUACCAAAACUUAGAUGUUUGUACCCUGGAAUGCAUACUCCGGAAUGGCUUGCGCUUGAAAUGCUUUUUGUGUAUCGCUGUGACAAAUUAAAGAUAUUCGCUGCAGAUUUAUUGCAGAAAAAUGAGAAUGAUCAACUUGGUAUUCCUGUACAACAGCCCCCAUUGCCGUUGGAAAAGGUAUGAAGCCAUUUUCUAGAUUUUUUUUAUCAAUAACUUAUUUUUAACUUUGAAAAAUAUGACAAAGCAAUGAUAAAUUAAUACUCAAUAAAUUGAAAACUUUUAUUAUACAAUAAUCUUUGCUAGUCUAGACUAAGGGAUCAAUGUGGUAGAUUAAUAAUUAUAUGAACUUUUUUAGGUAUAGCAUUUAUAAAAGAAUCCUUAGUCUUUCCUAUAGAAGAACUUACAAAAUAAAUUAGUAAUUUAUUAUCGUGCAAUAAAAUAAUUUCUUUUUUUUCCCUAAUUUCUUUUUUACCUCUAAAAUUAAUAUAUAAAAAAUCAUUUAAUAAAAUUUAUCAAUAAUUCAAUUUGUUUUUGUAAAAUAUAAUAUAAAACAAAUAAUAUAAAGUCACUGCAUGUGAUUGGAUUACUCAAAAUCAUUUGAGAGAACACCAAUUGACCUUGUCAGUUAUUAUGAUUGAUGAUGAUCAGAUCUUACCCAACUUGACGGAACUAUCACUAAGCGGAAAAGACGCGAAGAUGAUUUUGCAGGCCGAUUUCCCACAACACCUUUUUGGCAGUCUUAAACGACUAGUGAUUGCUGAAGAUGACUCAGCUGGUUUUCCAAUCUGGAACGUACUUGAGAGAUUUCACAAUCUCGAAAUACUCACACUGUUUAAUUUUUCAUUCCACGAAGAGGUAUUUUCGAUGGAAGGAUGCUUAGAGAAACAUGUGGGGAAGUUGGCAACGAUAAAAGAAUUAGAGCUGUACCGGCACUAUCAUCUGAAGCAGCUGUGCAAACAAGACUCCAAACUUGGCCCCAUUUUUCAGUAUCUUGAAAUUCUAAAAGUAUAUCAUUGUCAAAGUCUGUUAAUUCUACUGCCAUCAUCAUCGGUAUCUUUUGGGAACCUAACAAAACUUGUAGCUAGCGGUUGCAAGGAAUUGAUGCACUUGGUAACAUCCUCCACAGCAAAAACUCUAGUGCGACUCGUAUCACUUGGUGUAUACGGAUGCAGAGCAAUGACAGAGGUGGUAAUAAAUGACAAAGACGGGGUUGAAAAAGAAGAGAUUGUUUUCCGCAAAUUGAAGACGUUGGAACUGUGUGAUUUAGACAGCCUCACAAGUUUCUGCUCUGCCAAUUACACCUUUGAAUUCCCAUCUUUGCAAGAGUUGGGGGUGAUUUGUUGUCCCAAGAUGAAGAUUUUCACUACAGGAGAAUCAAUCACGCCUCCGGGAGUAUACGUCUGGUAUGGAGAGACAGCGGAUCAACGGUGCUGGGCUAAUAAUGAUCUAAACGCAACCAUACAACAAUUACAUGCUGAGAAGGUACGGAUAUACAUAUUACUCUCUAUCUCCCAUGAUAAAUUUUUAUAAAAUUUGCUUUUUAAAAUACAAUAUAGAUAAGAUAUUUGUUUAAAGUAAAAGUUUAAAUUGAUGAAUAAGAAUUUUAUUUUCAGCUGUUGGCGGUGCCGUCGUCGUUCUCCACCCGGUACUAAUUUCAUAGGCUUCUUAUGACUUGGGAGUUGUGAAUUUUUAGAAGAAAGUCUCAACUGGUAAUUAAUUUUUAUUUCAUUUAUUUGAUCUCAUGGCUUCUUUCGCAAUUUCAUCUGAAUUAUUUAGAAUGGGUCACUCGAUUUACUGUUAAAUUUGGAAUGCCAUUUUAAUGAUUCGUUCAGACUUUUAUGGACAGAUUUUGCAUCAUUGAAUGUCUUUCAGUCUAGUUUAAUUUAAUUUUUUUUUUGGAGAGUUUCCCUUGUUUUCUAAAAUUGUAUAAUUCCUUGCAUACUUUUUAUGAUAAAAUUUCAUUAAAAACCUUCAUAUUUUAUAAUUCCAUGAAAUCGUGCGUACUUUUUUCCUAUCUUUCUUCGCCAAUUAUUUGUUUUCAUCAUUGCUGUUCUGUUAUUUUAGCUUGUGCUCUGUUUGUUCAUUUGGUUUGGUUUGCUUCACACCUAUCUUUCUUUGGAAACUUAGAAGGCAAAGGAAGUACUUAGAAAAUGCUCUUCCCUAUGAACACAUAAUUAAGAACAGCUGAAAAUCAUUCAUCGGAUAAAAAAAUUAAAAAUAAUUAAAAAUAAACAAAAUCUAAUCAGAGCAUUAUGCCUGGAACAAAUCCUUAAGCCAUCAAAGCAAAACUCUUCGCUAUGAAAAACUAUAUUGUGGAAAUAUUGUUUGAAAACGUUGGAUACCAAGAAAGGGACUAAUCUGGUCUAGUUUUAUGAGAAGUGCAGAAGAACAGUAUUUUCUCUGUUGUUCCUAUUAAAAUUCUUUACUCUGUUAUUGUAGAAUGUCUGGAUACUCAUGAAGAUUCAGGUAACUCUUCUUCUGUGCAUCAUUUGAAAUAAGGUCUUUUUUUUUUUUUUUUUUUUUUUUUUUUUUGGGAAUAUCUCCUACUGGGUUUAUAGCUCAUACAAAGAGAUAUUCUCAAAUGAAGCCGGAUACUGGUAGAAACAAGGGAGGAAGUUGGCGCUGAUAAAAUGGUUAAUCCUGUCCAGACUUAAUCAUCUGAAGCAACUCCAAACUGGACUCCAUUUUCAAUAUCUUGAAAUUCUAAGGCUAUAUUAAUGCUUGUAAAAAUCUUUUAAGUCUAUUCCCAUGAUCAUCUGUAACUUUUGGGAAUCUAACAGAACUGGUGGUUUUCCAUUGCAAAGAAUUGUAACAUCCAUCCACUACAGCAGAAAGUCGAGUGCGGCUCGUAUCAAUGAAGGUAACUGGAUGCAGGCCAAUGACAGAGGUGUUUGACAGAGGUGUUAAUAGGUGACGGAGAAGAAGAUGGAGCACCAAAUUUAAUUUCAAAACAAGAGAUUGUUUUCAGCAAAUUGAAGACGUCGAGUCUGUGUGAUUUAGAUAGUCUCACAAGUUUCUGCUUUGCAAAUUACGCUUUCAGAUAAAGAUUCUUGAAACUGUCCUAUUUAGAGCUGACAUUUCCACUAGAUUUAAGAGAAUAUAAAAAAUUCAUUAAUCGUUAGUUUUUAAUUUCAUUAUUCAAUGAAAGUCCUGUCAAAUUAAAUUGCCGCUAUUGAAUCUCUCGCUCCCCUUGCAAAUCUCUAUGUGCAAGUACCUAAAUUUACAAAUUUUACUUCAAAUUAAUGAAUGACAUAAUUUAUUUUCAGCAGUACGAUAUGUUCUGAUCCCAUAGGCUUUUUAAUUUAUUACAUGGUGUUGUCAAAUUUGAAGAACAAGGUCCGAGGUAACAAUCGUUUUCAUUUCAUUUUGUUUGAUCUCUAAGUUUAUUUCAUCGUUUCAUCUAAAUUAUUUGCAAUGCGUCGGUUGGUUUCUUGUUAAUUUUGGAACAAAGUUGAUGCAACCAAUGGUUGCAUAUGAUGAGUAGGAUAUCGCUCUGAGAUCAUAACUUGAGUUAUAGAUAUCUAUCUAGGGCGUAUAAUAUAUCAUUAAUCUAUUACUAUAACAUUGUAUUGGUCUCGUGGUCCAGCUAGAAAUUCUAUUUGUUUCAUAGUUAUUUUACAAGUUUAAGAUAUUUUCUUAUUUUUCUUAUUAUUUUCAAGAUUUUUAUUUUUUUUCUACAAAUAUAAGAUUUAAGUACGAUUUAUUUUAUUUUUAUUAGAAGAAUGUUAUUAUAUAAUAAUAUUUUAGGUUUGCUUAUUUUGGUAAAUUCGUAAUAUUUAGAAUUAGUAUAAAGAGGGUCCAAAAUCCAAAUUUUGUUAUUCAGACCUAUCUAUUAAUAAAAUUUCAGACUUUUCAAAAACUUGUGUUUCUCUAUAUUUUCAAUCUCAACGUCCAAUUUUCCGUCAUCAUAAAUUCUAAUGCCUGGUUCCAUCAGGUCUCUCUUCUGUGAAGCCCCUGGAGUAAAAGCUCCGAAUGUGUUACCAUUGAAAUCAUGGCAGAAAACUUUAGUACUUAAUUAAGGCUCUUGAAUAAGACUCUUUAUGGCUUCAAUAUUUUACUUGAUAUGAAAAUUUCUUUCUAGAUAGAAUCAUUGUGAAGAUAAAUUGUGGUAUUACUGACAAUGAAUAAGUUGAAACAUCAACAGAGAUAAAUAUUGAGCAAUUAAUGUUACCAGCAAUCAAUUUGUGAGCACCAACAACCAUUUUCAUAUUUAAGCCGUUAGAACAGUAACACAAAAUAUGGCGAGUGGCAACCACACAAAUAAUCAAAUUCCUGAUAGAUUUUGAAAACUUUAAUUUGCUAGAUAUGUAUUUUAAUAUUUCAACAGGUGCAUCUUUUCUCUACUCAUGUGGCACGUUGAAUCAGAAACGGUUUGAAUGUCAAUAUUACUCCAAGUGCCUCAACCAAAUUCAGAAUGAAGAAAAUCAUCUGGUUACCUGCACUUUAGUUUAAGCAGCUGAUUAAGUUAAUUAGCACCAAGUAAUUCACAUACUAGUGAGAAAUUUCAUUAGUAAAUUCAUACCUGGGAGGAAACCAGCAUCUUGACGCUUUUGUGACCAAGAAAAUCUGCCAGAACCCCAAUUAAUGAAAAAAAAUUAUAACAUCAUUUACAUAUAAUUUUACAAAAUCAAUAGGACACUUACAGAGCACCUCCUACAGCUGGACCGGCAGUUUUGGUAAGCGACACCACAGUCAUAGCAAGUCCAUUAUGGUAUAAUGCUGUUCCUGUUAUUAUACCAUAAACCAAAAAAAUAAUUUAAACUUUUGACACAUACAAAGCAUGAAAAAGCUGAAAGCAUGGAAAUGUACUAAACAAACAAAAGAAAAUAUAUUUACCACUGCUCUGUUUUGCAGAAGGAACAAUCCAGUAAUUAUAGACACCUGAUGUUAUAAUUCAGGAAAAGUGAAAGAGAAUUACAACAUUUCUGAUAAAGAAGAUAUAAAAUAACUUUUAUACAUUCUUGCUAAUGGGUAAUAUAACCUAAGUAUAUGGAUCAAUGAUUAGGAUAUCCACUUACAGAUAAAACAUUCUUCAUCACAGAAGCACAGUUUAUCAAUAAGGCAAGGCUGAACCCAGAUAACAUUGCUAUGUAAGUGUAACUUGUCAAAAGCGGUAUCGAUAAAACCUGUAUAUACAUAGAAAAUUACGUCACCAAAUCCAUGAAGAAAAGUAUUUUAUAAACAAAUAUGUUUGAAACAAACUAUCAAAUGAUCUAAAUGCCACAUGGUUUGUUCAAAAUUUUACCCCUGCAAUGCGUGUUAUUAUUAUUGGCCCGAUCAUCCUCUCAACGUAAGGGUAUAGAGUAAGUUGAAAAACAAGGAGGCUGAAUCCUGCAGUAAGUUCAAAAUGAGGAGUUGAGGACAAUCAAUAAGCAGUUUUGUGGGGUUGAUGCAUGAGAAAAGAAGUUAAGAGGAACGAGUAACAUUUUCAGUUUCGUAAUAAGUAUAAAUGGGCAGCAAGAGUAUUGGUUUUGCACCUGAGAUGGCAAGAACUUGGCCAGCAUUUUCGGUUGAGUAACUCAGACCCCCGUACUUCCACGGGCUGAUAGCCCACAAUGAAAAUAUCUAACAGAAUAGUUGCAAUAUUAUGAUUUAAAAAAAUUACAUAGAUAAGAAAUUCUUAGGAUCAGUAAUAGCCAUAUGUCUUCUUUAUGUAUAAAACUCAAAACAAUCCCAUCAAUAGCAAUAGCACCCUCUGUUUCAGGUAGAAGUUAAGAGAUAACUUUGCAAAUAUCUAACAGAAAGCGAUCUGAUCCAGGAUCCUGGACUUUAUUCAAGUUCGGGAAAGCCAUUGGUCAUUGGACUAUUAAACCAUGUGGCUUAAUAACUGGUUGAGCAGAUCAUCUCGACCAGGAUAUUAUAGUUCACAUCGACCAGAAUAAUAUGUGGUGACCUCGAGCAGAUCACCUCGACCAGGAUAUUAUUGGUCAUCUCGACCAGGAUGUUAUUGGUCACCUCGAGCAGAUCACCUCGACCAGAAUAAUAUGUAGUGACCUCGAGCAGAUCACCUCGACCAGGAUAUUAUUGAUCACCUCGACCAGGAUAAUAUGUGAUGACCUCGACCAGAAUAAUAUGUGGUGACCUCGAGCACAUCACCUCGACCAGGAUGUUAUUGGUCACCUCGACUAGGAAGUUACCAGAAAACACGAUUCAGUCAAAACAUUUUCUCCGAAAUAUUAGGGACCAUAUUCUUAGUGGGCUGAAAAUUAGUAGUUUUCUUGAGAAUCCUAUGGGAGAGGAUAAAAACCGCUAUAUUUUCAUAUAAAAACCCUAAGGGGGGAUUCUUCUAGCUCUCUCUCUCUCUCUCUCUCUCUCUCUCUAAGCAACUGAACCCAUUGGACCUUUUUCUCCCUCUACCACUGAGAAAUUUCUCUUUCGCCUGUGAUUUCUUUAAGAUUGAUUAUUGUGAAUUUUUUUCCUUUAAAUUUACUUAAAAGCUUUUUGUUUAAAGCAAUCAUAAUUAAGCCACAUGAAUUGUGGUAUGGGUUUUUCCAAGUAAGACCCGAAUCGCUGACUUGAGCGUCGGAGAGUUCUCGCCGGAAAAACUUCCGGCACCUCCUGACUGUUGGUUGUGUUCACAGGCUCACAGGUUAUCUGCUCAUGGAUUGUCUGCUCAUGGGUUCUCUGCUCAUGGAUCGUCUGCUCACGGGUUAUCUGCUCAUGGAUUGUCUGCUCAUGAGUUCUCUGCUCAUGGAUCGUCUGCUCAUGGAUUGUCUGCUCAUGGAUCGUCUGCUCAUGGGUUGUUUGCUCAUGGGUUCUCUGCUCAUGGGUUGUCUGCUCAUGGGUUGUCUGCUCAUGGAUCGUCUGCUCAUGGGUUGUCUGCUCAUGGGUUCUCUGCUCAUGGAUCGUCUGCUCAUGGGUUGUUUGCUCACAGAACAUCUGCUCAUAGAAAAUCUGCUCAUGGUGCUAACUAAUCAUCAGCUUCCCACCAAACAAAUUUAAUGCUGAUGCAGGGAUCUGAGAUUUGACCAACUCAUCCAGAUUUCGGCAUCAACAAUAACUUUCCCGAACAUUAAAAUAGUUUAGAUUUUGGAUUGGAACAUUUUUAUGUCAUAAUAAAGUAGAAUAUAUAUAUAUAUAUAUAUAUAUAUAUAUAUAUAUAUAUAAACAAUCAAACUCAGGUAGAGAUGUUUAUACCUCGGUGUAAGCGAUAUCAUGAAGCGAGAAAACACAAUAAACAAUAGUAGAAGAAAUAAAGGGCCAAUUCUUCAUGAGGCUUUUCUUAGCAGUGGCCUCCUCACUUCCUUCAUCUUGUUUAAAUUCUGCAUUGGACCCACAGGCGGAUUCCAAAGCAUCACAUGAUACAUCAAGUGAUACACCAUCUUCAUUGUGUUUGUGCAAUGUCUCCUGCAUCAAAAAGCAUGUGAUGGUGUCAAUGUAGUCAUUAUAAGAGAAGCGAAAGUUAUAUUUUAUAGUCUCACCCAUAAGAAAAUUUGAAGUUAUGGGAGAGUUGCUAUUACAUGUACAAUUCAGCCUGAAAAGAGAGCUAAAGGCUACGUACCGGAAUCCAGCAAGAAGCAAUAGUUACCGCAAAAGCAAAGAGUGACAUACAGAGACAGGGAAGGAAGUAAGGAAACCUGCAUAAAUUUGUUUUUCAAAAUACCAUCAUAUUGAAAGUAUUACAGAAAAAGAUAAGGCUAAUGGCAGUAAAAAUUCACUUACUUUCCAAACAUAGAUUCUUUGGAAAAUGCCUUUGGAUAUUUCUCUGCUGGCUGGAUUGCAAAAUUAUCCACGAAUAUAUAUAAGAAUAAUAUUUAUCAAGCCAAACUACUAAAAAUUCAAAAAAAAAAAAAAAGCGCAUAAUAAUCAAGUAAAAAUUGCCGAACCUGGGCCAAAAAGCCACCCACUGCAGGGCCAAUAAUCAACCCUGUGCCCCAUGCUGUACUGAGCUGAAAUUAUAUCGUAGUUCUCAAGGUAAAUGAUGCUAUAAAAUUUUCUCAAGAACUUUGCAAUCAUACACGAACUGAUAAGCUCACCGUUGACAGUCCUAAAGUUUUGUGUUGAUCGCGCAAUAUUUCACAUGCAUAUGCCUGGUGGUGCAAGAGAAGUUUGAGUACAAAUAUUUACAGGAGUUAAAUUGGAAUUAUCAACAAAUACCCCCAAUCAAUACCUUAAUUGGUCCAAGUAAACCAUUCAAAGCCCCAAGGAGAAACCUUGUAGCUAUGGCCAUCCAGAAACUAACACUAAGCCCAAAGAGAGUGUUAAAAAUAACCCUGUGAGCAUUUUAAGACAAAUAAGAAACCCAGAAAUUGCCAAAAUAUCAUCAAUUUCAAGCUUGAUCAUUUGAAAAUAGAGGUCACUAACACUGUGAUGCAUCCUAUUAUUAUUACAGGCUUUCGACCACAGCGGUCAGCCACCAUUCCCCACAAAACAGAUGUUAGAGCUCUGCCAAGCAUGUAUGAAGACCAUUCAAUUUCAUCAUGGUAUUAAGAGGUUUGUCAGAUGCAUCCUAUUAUUACUUCUCGAGGAAUUUGAACUGUUAUAUUGGUCGUACAUACAUACAUACAUGCAUACAUACAUAUACACAUACUGAAUAUUGUCUAAGUGGUUUAUUUACAGGUAUUCAAAAUAUAAAUUAUUGCUAUGAUUUUAGAAAAUAUUGUCUUUUUUUUGUAAUUUAUAUUAAAAUUUUGCGACAAUUGUUUGGCUGGAAUUUUUUUUUUUAUAAGAAAAAUAGUGAUCUCACACUGAUCCAUAGUUGAGCCAAUUACCUAGUUAAAAGCUACCUCCAUAUUUUUUAUUUUUUACCCUAAUGCAUGUCUGAUUCUUUUAAAAUUUUACGUUAUAUAUAUUAAACAAAAAUUAUAAUUUUAAUCAUUGAAAAAUUAAUGACAGACAUCUUUUGAAUAAUAUUUUUUUAAAAAAAUACAGAGCUAGAGAUAAUGCUAUAAUUGAUUGAAUAAGAAGGCUACAACUUGAUGAUAACUUUAUUGCAAUGUUGCGUGAUCUCAAUAUAUUAUUGGCUUUUGUGUGAGUAAAAGUUGCUGGCUCGUGUUUUACUAAUUUGGGUUUGUAUUUGACUGGCUCGACAAAGAAUCGAUUUACCUCAUACUCAAAUUACAAACAUCGAAACCGGAUCUGUCAUUACGUUAAUUGGCCUCCUAAAAUAAUCAAUCACUUUCUCUUUAGUCUACUAUCCACUCUUUCCAGUCGCUUAGUUUCAUUCUAAUCAUCUAAACGGCUCUUUGGUACUGUUUCUUCUAUUCGUCAUUGUUCUUGUUCUGUUAUUAUUUAGCUUUGUUCACUCCUCAGUCUCAUUUCUAAUUCUGUACCCAUCAGCUCUUUUAGCUCUUUACGUCGUGAUAGAAACCCUUUUCUUGUUUCCUUCAUCUCAUCUGAAAAACACAAUUGCUUGUCCUAUCGCUGUCUCUUUGUUUUUACUUUCCUUUGGCCUUCUUCGCUUCUACGUUUUUGUCAGGCUUCGAGAUGCUGGAAAUCAUUGUGACUAUCGUCUUGGAACUUGUAAAAUGCUUGGCUCCUCCAACUGCACGCCAACUUGUUUAUUUGCGAAAGCGGAACUACAAUGCCAACUUUGAGAAUAUCAAGGCGGAAAUGGAGAAGUUGAAGGUUGAACGUACGAGCAUUCAGCGCAGGGUUUCAGAGGCGAAAGAAAAAGGGGAAGAGAUUGAAGAGAAGGUUGAAAAGUGGCUGGUUAGUGCGAAGUACGAACGGCAUCAUUGACCGGGCAGCCAAAUUCAUUGAAGAUGAGGAGUCAACGAAUAAGCGCUGUGUCAAGGGCUUGAGUCCUAUUUGGAAGAGUCGCUAUCAGCUUAGCAAGAAAGCAGAGACGGAGGUGAAGGCCAUUAUUGAACUUGGAGAAGAAGUUAAGAAGUUUGAUACUGUUUCCCACGGUACCAUUCGGGAGCAGAUAUGGCUUAACUCUAGCAAUGGUUACGAGGCCUUCGAAUCAAGACUUUCUACUUUGCAAUCUAUAAAAAAUGCAUUGACUGAGGCGAAUGUCAGCAUUAUUGGGGUGUACGGCAUCGGCGGCAUUGGAAAGACCACACUGGUGAAGGAGUUUGCUAGGCAAGCCAGGGAAAAGAAGUUGUUUUAUCGGGUGGUUUUAUCAGAGGUUUCAUAAACUCCAGAGAUAAAAAAAGAUUCAAGGGGAAAUUACAGAGAACUUAGGUCUGGAGUUGUCCGAUGAAGCUGAAUAUAGAAGAGCUAGCAAGCUGAAUGAACGAUUGAAGAGUGAGAAUAAGAUUCUUGUGAUUCUAGAUAAUAUCUGGAAACAUCUUGAUUUGGAGACCGUUGGAAUUCCUUUUGGAAAUAAUCAUAAAGGAUGUAGACUUUGAUAGACAACCAAGGAGAUCAGCUAGAGUUUCAAAGCCAAGCAGCAAGCUUGUGGACUUUGUUUGACCAUGCAAACCAUGCCCAUGCAAGCCAUGCAAUUGAUCUCCCACAUAACACUUUCAUGCGAGUUAGUUGGAAUAAGAGCACGUGAGGAAUUGAUAUUGAAGUAAAAGUGAUGGUUGUCGAAGCCAGUAAAAAUAAAUACCUACUCUAAAUAAAUUAUGUAUAGUGAUUGAGUAAGGUCGUGUCCACAGAGAUCGGUAAUUAUUUAAAUUCUUUUAAAAAGUAAAUUGCAAAAUGGGGGGAUUGUUGACAAUAAUAAAAAUCAAAUUAAAAUAACAAGAAUGCAAAUUAAAAUUUUAAUUCAAAUUGGGAAAAGCUCUGGUUGAAGGAAUUAACUCAGCUUGAUUUGAUUACUGAUCAUUGAUUCAAUUAUAAAUCACUACUACUUAUGAAUAGAUCGGUUAUAGCUACUGAGACCCUCUAAUAGUCAAUCUCUCCUUAACUAAUCGAUAACCAAAGUACGACCGUUGGUUAUUUCCCUAAUCAAUAGACAACCUAGAUACGAUCAUAGGAUUUAAUCAAUUGACAGCCUGAAAAUCCAGAGAGACCCAAAUCCUAAUAAAUAAACGCAUACAAUGGUUCAUUUAAAUUAGAUUGUUUAUUCUCAUAACACAAUGCACUGCUAUGCUAUUUGUCACAAACAUUAAAAUCUUCAUACGAUAAAUCAUUUAAUUGACAACAUAUUAAGUUGAUAAUUAAAUAGUGGUCAAUUAUCUAAUUAACAAACAUAAUCAUGACAAUAAUUCAGAGAAUAAACAAAUACCCAAAAAAUAAUAAAAUAAUUAAAGCAUAAGAAAGAUCUCACAGUAGUGAUGAAUCAAACCUUCAUUAACCUUCAACCAGAAUAAUAGGUUUAGUUCCUCAUAGAGAAAAGAGAAAAAUUUAGAUCUAGGGUUUUUCUCUUUUCAAAAAUCUCUCCUUUUCACAAUACAUUCCUCCCUUAAAUUCUCUUCUCCCUCUUCUCCUCUAAAGUUCUUUUUACAAUAAAAUACUGAUAUCUAAAAUAUUAUCUAAAUAUUAAAUUCAUAAUUACAAAAAUAACCAAAAAUAUAAAAUACGUUAAACUAAAAACUGUAGGUCCGCAGUUGACAGCAUGUGCCCACACCUUAUCAACACAGUUUUUCUGAAGCUCAUAAUUUCUCCAAGAAAUCAAUGAUCCUCAAAUAUCAUCUUGUAGCUCAAUUUUAGCACCAAUCAAUAGAAUUGCACCUACAAAAAUAAAACACAAGUAAAUCACUAUUAUUAAGUGCAAAACAUCGAUAUUAAAGGAAGUAAAUAAUGCAAAACUAGUGCAUAAAUUGUACUCUAACAAAAAGACUACAUCAAAGUUGUUGCCAAGAAUCAAGUUAAUUUAUUUUCUGCUUUGUUUUUAUCUAGUUGUUAAUAUUGAUUUGAUUUGGCUGGAUUUGAGCCAAGGUUUUAGGCUACAAAUCAGUAGUAUACUUUAUGUUUAUCUGUAUAAAUAAGCAGCAACCAUGACGAUUGAAAGGAAGGAAAUUAGUCAAAACAAAUACUGGUUGUUCAUACCAUAAAUUGAACGAAUAUCAGGCACUGCUUUUCUGUAUUUGAUCGGGACCUAUCAGACUAUUGCUGACAGCAAGAGAUAAUAAUGUGCUUUUAAGUAUGGGCUCCAAAGAUAACUUUUUGAUUGGCAAUCUAACUGAACAAGAAGCCUGGCGAUUGUUUAAGAUAAUGAAUGGUGAUGAUGUUGAAAGUUGUAAGUUCAAGUCUACAGCAAUUAAUGUGGCUAAGGCAUGUGGAGGUUUGCCCAUGCGUUGACUACUGUAGCGAGGGCACUGAGAAACAAGAGUCUCCAUGAAUGGAAGAAUGCCUUGCGAGAGCCUUCAAUGGUAAACUUCGAAGGGGUGCCUGCAGAGACUUAUUCAAGUAUUGAGCUGAGUUUCAAUUAUUUAAAAGGUGAGCAAGUCAAGAAAAUUUUUCUGCUUUGUCGUCUAGUAGGUAACAGUGUUUGGUUUUCAGACUUAUUUAGAUACUCCAUGGGUUUGGGCAUAUUUCAAGGAGUCAACAUUCCCUUCCUAUUUACCAAAGGUAAGUGAUAAAUCCUACAUAUCCCACUCAAGAAUGCAUAAGUUUCUUCAAUCUCAAGUACCUAAAGUUUUCUUCUACGUUUAUAAAAAUUUCAGCACCAUCUCCCUAUAAUUCUCCAAGCUCACGACGUAGCUAUAUAAGUGUUUAUGCGUUAUGCCAAAACAACACAUGACACCCAUUCACCUAGUACGUACCCAGAGAACACGAGGAGCAGCUACCGAAAAACCCAUUUUUACGUGGGAAAAAAACUUCAGCUACUAGCUACCAGAGAGAACUAUGCAUUCCCAAACUGUCCAAGCCUGGACAAUUCAAGAAUUAUUAAUAGACAUAUGAUCCUCACUAUCAUCCAAAGAUGACACUAAUAAAACAUGUGUCUAUUAAUAAUUUCUUAAACAAGUCUAAGCUUUCAAUGCACGUAUCAAAAGUUUAAAAUUGAAUCUGAAAUUUGAAUAACACAUAAAUAUCAUAAAUCUCUUCAAUUUAUUCCUGAUACAAUGUAGCAUUAUUUCACAUAUCAUUUCUUAAGCAAAACCAUAAAAAAUACAAACGAUAAAUACAUUUUCGCACUGAUGCAGAUUAUGUUUACUGAGCAAUAAGUUUUAAGUCAUUCAUGUUGAAAUACUUCUUCCUAUUCUUUCAACAUAUAACUAGUACGUACACACAAUUAAUAAAUUAAAAAAAAACCUGGUAGUGAAUCUUGGAAAAUCUUCCUUCUUUCUUUUUUUUUUGGUGGGAGGGGGGGGGGGGGGGGGGUGGUGGUUGGGGGAACUAUGAAUCUUGCAAAUCCUCGGGAAGCCAUGUUAAGACAAGGCCAGCUUACUAUUAGGGUAUGAAAGAUAAAACCUUUUAUUUCCUUUUCAGAAUAAAAAGAAUAUUGACAAUGUUAAAAAACAUCUAGAGGAUUUCAGGUCUCCAGAUCCUUACAAAUCAAGGAUAUUAAAAAAAUUUACUUAGAGGAGAAAGGUUAUGCUCAUUUGUAUCUUGUUAGAAGAAAUUGAUCCAAAGCCUCAUUUUUAAUUAGCUUCAUAUAGCCAAUGAUUAGGUGUUUAAAAACCAAUGAAUAUUUUUAUAAGAAAUCAACAAUAUUGUUGAAAGAAAAACCAAAUAAAAUUAAUAAAGCCAAUGAAUAGAUCAAGGCUCUUUGUGGUCUAAUAACUAAUCAAACUAAGUUGUGGGCAAAGGCGAAUAUGUUUGUUUGGUCAAUAAUAAGCUCAACAAAUCACUAAUAAUCACCUAAUCACUAUUCCUUAUGCUAUGCAAUAUAAUGGCCUGGGUAAUGGCGCCAAGGCAGACAAUAACUAGCUAGCCAGUUAUGAUAGUUGAUUAACUUAACCUACUGGAAAUCUGAAGACCAAAACGAAGAAGCUUUGCCUAGAACUACAAUAGGAACAUUCAUACCCAAAACUAAUAUACACGAUUAAGAAACUUGAUUAUAUGUAUAUUUUUGUUGGCCACACUUAAAGAGAAUUUUCAAAAGAUGCUAAGGUACACCAAAUCCCACUAUUUCAAACUCAUAAACACAAAAAACCAUGGCAAAAAUUAAUGACUAUAUAAAAUAAAAUCGGUCAUGGGGCAUUGAGAUUAGGACAACUUGAUUUGUAUACCGUAAAAUAACUAUAUCUGCAUAGUGAACUAUAUUUCUGUUAGAACUCUGAAGUUUUCUAUUAAACUUUUUUCUCUGUUAGGUAAACCACUUAACUAAAAUGCUUAAGCCAAUAUUGACAAUCAUAGACAUAAAAGUAUUAAUAGGCUCACUCAAGUGAAAUGAGCAUUAUUUCACACAUCCUUUAGGUUUUUAAGUCAUUUAGAAGUCAUUCAUGUUAAAAAAAAAAAACAAAUUCAUAUACUUUCAAUAUAAUUACUGCAUACACAAUUAACUAAUUAAAUAAAUCUGUUUCAGCUAGUAUAGGAACUUAAUUAAUCAAAGCUAGUAGUUAUAGCUAGGACUUGAACGAGGCACCUUUCAAAGUUCAAGAAGAGCAUCUGAACAGAAUGAAAGCACUUUGUAGAAAUGGUAAUGAUGCUUUACAUCUACAUGCUCUUACACAAUAUGAACUUUCAUUGAUUCAAGAACAUAACACUAAUCCAAGCUCUUACUCUACAAGUCAAUUCAGUUUGUAGAUGCAAGCCAUUGUAAAAACUUUUGACAUUACUAAUUAAUAUAGAAUCAGCAAUGUUAUAUAACUUAUUAGACAAUAUAACAAGCACUUGGCGAGCAUAUAAGAUAAACUAAAACAAGUUAAUUAGAAAAUGAAACUAAAACCCAAGCUCCGCUAUUCAUUGUAGAAGCUUUAAACAUAAAAUUAAAGUAAAUCUAAUGGCAAAACAUUAGAAUCGAUGUUGGAAUUAAAGCUAAAUUCAAUAGUAAUCCAAAUGAAUCCAUUUGAACUUUGUAAACUCCGCAGAACAAAAUUAAUUUGAGUGAGCAAACUCAUCAAUGGCACAAGAAAACAGGGGCUUCAACUUGUAGGAAUAAAAAUAUAUUGCUGGCGGGACAAAAAUUGACAAUAACGGCUACAAUGCGAAUUAAAAAAAAAUCAAAAUCUAUAAUUACAAGCUAAGUAAGAGAAGAAACUCAUAAUCACAAGCUUACCUCAAAAGAUGAAGGGAGAAGACGAUGAAGAAGAAGAUGGCCCGUGUUUUACGCAGUUCGCCGGCAACCAGUUAGGCUUACGAUGGUGGCUAGUAACACGGAGUCCAGCGAAUAGUUUUAAAUUUAAAAUUCUAAAAUAGUAAUAUACCGAACGGCUCUUUACGCGGGUAGUAACUAACAUAUGUGAUAGCGGUAUGGCCGUCACAUAAAGGGUAACAAAAGCAAGUCGGGGUACAAAGCUAGAGCCUAGAAGUUAGUGAUAUACGUAAUGGCUUCUUUUGCAUUCACAUUAGGGGUCACAUAUACCCUAGUUUCUUGUAGUACAUGGUAAACUAUAUUUGUACGAAUUCAUUUUUGUGUGCUUGUUGGAUAAUAAUAUAUAAUAAAUUAAAAUUUGGUGUAAUUUUCACAAUAUUGUAUUAUAAAUAUGUCUCGUUCAGAGGUUUUGAAAUCGUUUUGAUUGAUCAUAAUUGAUAUUUCCACAGUUGCAAAAGAUGCCAAAGAAAAUUUGAUUAUCUUAAGAAAUGAGUGCAUGAGAUAUGAAAUCAACCAUACCAUAAAAUCAAAUUUUAUCGUGUCAUCCUUCCUGGUUCAAAUUUAUGGAAACAAUAAUCAAAUGCAUCCAUGAACUAGUAUAUUCCGACAUAUGUACCAUCAAAUUUUUGCUAUGUCAUACUUAUACACACACACAUAUAUAUAUAUAUUGAAAUUUUAUUAACAACAAUUGGGCCAAGCAUAUGUUGGUACUUGAAGAUUUAGAAGCUCCAUCCUUGAAAAAAUAAGGCUUGACUGUUAUCAAUCUAAUUCUUUUUGUUUUAAGUUCUUAAUUAAGCUUUCUUGCUUGUUUUCAAGAGCCAGUUUUGUAGUGAUCGACAAACAUGAUUUGCAUAUAAUGCACUUGGCAUUUAUGUGUCACUUAUUAAUUAGAUUUAAAUUCUAUACAUUAGUUAAGCUGAUUAAUACUUUAUACUUGCACUAAAUGAUAAAUACUACAUAAAUUGAGAACACUAGUAACUAUGUAUCCCAACUAUGUAAUAUUUGUUUGUCACAAACCCAAUCAUGGCCUAAUAUUCUAAAUGUUAUUUAGGAUACCAUUUCAAGCCCCAUGAGGGCUCUUUCCGUUUAAAAAAAACAAGUAAGAAAUAGAUGUAGAUAGCCAUAAUGAUUUAAUUUCUACUGCAUACAUAGCUGUAAUUAUUUUAAAAGCUACAGGAUUACCAAAUUGACCCUAAAUCAAACCAAUAAAAAUGUUUAAAAGUAAUAAUAAUAAACCAAAGUAAACGUACAAAAAUUCAUGCAUAAAUUGAUAAUCAAUAAAAACAUUCAAAAGUUUAACUCCAACUUUUCUAUAAAUUUCAAAAGGCAUUAUCAAUUUUGUGUCUAAUUCUACAAAAUUAGAAAACUAAAGAAUAUUAUGUAAUUGACAUAACCCUUAAAUUUCAAAAGGCAUUAUCAAUUUUGUGUCUAAUUCUACAAAAUUAGAAAACUAAAGAAUAUUAUAUACUGAUAAUUAAAUAAUAUGCAAUUAAUAAUGUUAAAAAAAUAAUUUUAAACAUAUUGUCAACUAAAAUAAAUGGGAGAAUUGGAGUUCCAAGAUAAAUUCUUAUCUAGUUCCAAAUCAACAAUUGGGAUUAAUUUCAAUAUUAAACCCCGACUGCUUUUAAAAUUGAUCCUAAUGAUAUGGACAAAUCCCAUUCUGAUCAGUAUGGAAUCCCAAUCCCAUACCUUUAGAUUUCGAUGGUGUUUAGUUGGAGGGAGGAGAGGGGAAGGAAAUGAAUUCAAAUUCCUUUCACUUUUUCUGUUGUUUGGUUUUCACUAAUAUAUGGGAAAUCCAUUUCUAUUGAAAUUUAAUUUUCAUCAAAUUGUGAAUUUUGGAUUCCUCAACGAAGGCUGUAAAAUUCAAAUUCCCCUCCUAUUAGAAAUCAAAUCUUCCAAAAUGGCUCCUCUCAAAUAUUUAUCAAUUAUUUUAAUUCUUAUCAAAUAAUUCUUAUUCAUGAUUUUAUUUAUGAUUUUAUUUUUUAAAUUCAAAUUGUCACUAAGGAGUCUGACUUACUACCACAGAAAAGCAAAAAAAAAAAAAAAAACAGUUUAUAGAUUAUGAUAAUUCUAUAUAUUGUCUGAGAAUUGCAAUCCCGUAGCCGAAGUAGUUUUUAAGUACAGAAUUUCAGUCAUUUCUAUUUAAUUUUUUUUUUAAAUGUGAAUUGGAGGGAUCAAGAGCAGCUCACUGGAGGUUGAGGCCGACAUGGAAUCUGAUUAUCAGGAGAUCCGAGUGCAGGGAGGAUUCAAUAGUGAACCCGAAUGAAAUCGGGCGGGUGGGCCUGCCUAUGUGUUUUUCCAAUCCAUAUUAAAAGGAGUUUCUUUUACAAAUACAUAUUGGACAUAUUUUGACAUGUCGUACUAAAUUAAGCCAUCAAAAAUUGCUGGGAAGGGAGUAAUAUCUAUUUAUAACUGGAAAUUACUCACCGUACAAUGAUGGUUGGAGCUGCAUGUAUCAUUUAUUAUUAACAACUAACUUAUGAAAUGCUUUGAAUGUACCUCCUAGGUCGUAUUUACUAUACCGGUUAGGAGAAACUAUAAUAUUAAAUUAUUUGAUAAAUACUUAUUAUAAUUUAAAAAAUAUAUUAAUUUUGUCCUCCACUUUAUGAUAACAAAAUUAUAAUAUAAAUAAAUUAUUCAUUCUAUAAUCUUAAACUUUAUUAAAAUUCGAAAAACUAUUACUCUAUAUGAUAUAAUAGUGUGAUGUUAUUACACUAUUAUACCAUAUAAAAUAUAUUUGCUUUCUUAAAUUUUAAUAAAUUCUAGGUCUUGGACAGAAGCACUUUAUAUAUAUGUAUAUAUAAUAAUUCUCUAGUAACGACAUUCUCAUUUUAACAAAGUGAUGAUAUCGCUAACAAACUAAAUAACACACAUUUCAAUACACCAAUAGAUUAAAAAAAUACAAUUUUUAAUGUGUUAAAAUAUAUGUCUUUUGUAUAUUAUUGAUAUUUUCACUUUAACAAUGUGAGGGUCUCCUCACUAUAGAAGUACUUUAUAAAUAUUUUGUAUUUUUUUAAAAAAUUAUUAUUUAAAAGUCAUAUCUGACCAAGACUAAUAAUUUUUAUUUUAUUACUAUACUGUACUUUCAAGACAGAACACUUCAAUACCAUGACCUUAAUUUUUCAACUCUCUUGUACAAAGUUGUUGGCUGGUCUAUUUAGUUUAGUCUUUCAAUCAUUUGUCGUUUGAACUGAGAUGAUCCGAAUAAAGCUAUAUAUCAAUAAUUUCCUAGUGAAACUUUGGGAAAAAAUAAAAAUCAUGUCAUACAGUAGCAUUAUUUUAAUUCACAGCUUGAUUAUGUUUUGAGUUAACUUAUAGAUUAUUUGAAAUAAAAAGACUAUAAUUUAAUUUUUCCAACUAAAUAUUUUUAAAUAAUUUUGUUAAUUUAAUGAGUAAUUAUACACUUACAAAGUUACGAUAUAAAAUUAUAUCCCAGAAUCUCAAUAAUAUGACACCAAUUAACUACUGCUAUGUGUUUCUUAGUAAUUAACUUUUUAUACUAUUAUCAAUGAGAAAAUUAACUUCAACACCAAUAAACAAAUUUUAUAUUAAUACAUCCUCUAGGUUUAUUAUCAAAUAAUCAUGUCAUAAUCAAACCAAGCUACCAGAGCCUACUACUAAAAGAUUGAUUAAAGGGUUUUCCAAGUUUGAAAAAGUUAGUAGCAUUGGCAAAUGGCAACUCCCAGGAAUCUUCCUACUACAAUCAACCAUUCAGUGAAAUUCCCAAAUGGCACAAAGGACCCCGCCACCCGUUAAGUCACAUCAUUUAUUUAUUUGUGAAUGAAAAAUAAGGUUUCGAUCGUAAGAAAUGAACACCUUAUAAUGCAUGAUUACCUGUAUGUCAAGUUUGGCGAUUAUAAGUCAUCAUCACAAUAACUUUGGAGCGGAGCUAUCGGCACCCCCUUGAUAUCCUUUUCAAACCCCUUUUCUGCUUAUUUCCUCCUCAAUCCCUAAAAUAGCCUUUAUCUGUAAUUUUUCCGCAAACAAUUUCAACCUCCUUUCAGUUAUCACUCUUCAACCACUCCCACUUCAAGUUUCUUCUUUUUAUAGGAAAGGCUUUUGAUAACAACCCAAUAUUUUUUUGUUUUAAUUUUAUACUUUUCAGUUUAUGACAUUAUAUUUUAAAAUAAAUAUGUAUAAAAUACACACAAGGUUUAGUUAUCUCCUAGCAUUCUAAUAACGUUAGUAAUUUAUGAAAAUUUUAUAAAAUUAUCUUUCCUACAAAAAUAAAUUGUUAAGUGAAAAAAAUACUUUAUAUCAAAUUCUUACUCUUUUACCAUUGACCUUUUUUUUUCAAAAAAAAAAAUGGAACUUUUAAGUGCUUUAGUGGAGAAAGAGUCGGUGAGAAAAAAUCAUAUAUGAAUUUAAUAAGAUAAGAUUUAAGGGACAAAAUUGUAAAUGUAUAACAAGAGGGGUUUUAUAAGAAAAAUACAGGGGUGCCAAUAGCGUCACUCUAACUUUGGGCUUUGAUAUUUAAGGCUCCGUUUCGGACAAAUGCGUGGCAAUUGGACAACACAUCACUCAAUUAUAGAGUGUGAAAUAUUGAUAUUGUUCUUAUUAUUUUACGUAAUGUAUACAUUUUUCCUCUUAUUUUUGUUUGUUUAUUUAUUUUUGAUACUUAAUAAAUAUAAAUUUAUUUUUUAAUAUUUAAUAAAUAAUCCUAACCAGGCAAUAUUGCCAGAAAAUAACGAACAAUGAUCCAAAUCCUUUUAUUUUACAUAAAUAAUUUCAAUUCACAACAACUAUGACGUUACAUUACCAAACAAACACUAAAUAUUUUGAUUAUUGUAGUUUAUCUUUCAUUCAUAACAUGAAGAGUUUGAAAUAUGAUAUCAAAACAAAGAGUAUGACAUGUCGUGUUGUGUUCACAGAAGAAAUGUAAGCCAUGUCAUCCGAAAACUAAAAGGAACGUAUGACAAUCAGAAGCUGUCAUCUCUGAUUUGCUUACACUUUUAAGGAUAAAUUCUGGGUUUUCAGUGACAAUUAAAAGCUAGAGUGAGAAUUAGAGAGAGAGUUAGAUAUUCUUAUUCCUAGUCACUUGCUAUAUUUUGUAGGUCUUUUGUGACUCCAAUGAUAAAAUCGCUCAAUAUUUUUUUUUUGAUAGAGCCAUAUUUUUUAAAGCAUAAAGAAAGGCAGAAAUAUUGUAAAUCCAACUUAAAUUUUCUGUUCAUUGUGGUCGCUGCUAGUGCUAGCUGUUUUCUUAUUUAACUUUGUUCCCUUUUGCCAUCAGCUCUUUGCAUUUUCAUUGGAGCAAGCGACCCUUUUCUUGUUUCAAUUUCUGAUCUCAAAAGCACUCUGAUUCUCUGGACACUGAUUUUCUCCUUGUUUUGUACAAAUAUCAUUUCUCUUUCCCAUUUAGCCUUGAUUUGCUUCUACUUGACUAUCAAUUGCCCAGUCGUUGACCCUGUUGUAUUUCUAGUUCGUUCACUCCCCCCCCCUCCCCCCCAAAAAAAAUGGACAUUUUGAAAAGCAUUGUCCUAGGAGUUGUAAACUGCUUUGCUCCUCUAGCACAACACGAAUUUAGUUAUUGGCAUAACUCCGGUGCUAACUUUGACAAUCUCAAGGCAGAACUCGAUAGGCUCAAGGAUAAAAGAGAAAGAAUUCAGCGCAGAGUUUCUGAGGCUGAAAGAAAAAAGUGAAAAGAUUGAAGAGAUGGUUGAGAAAUGGCUGGUUAAUGUGAACAAGAGAAUUGACCAGGCAGCCAAAUUCAUUCAAGACGAAGAGGCAGCAAAUGAUGGCCGAUGUCUCAUGGGGCUGUUUCCUGAUUGGUUUGCUCGCUAUCAGCAUGGAAAGAAAGCAGAAACAGAGAAGGAGGCCCUUUCUAAACUCCGAGAAUAAGCUGAGAGAUUUGAUAAUAGAAUUUCCUACCCUACCAUUCGGGAGGAUAUAUGGCUCAAGUCUAACAAAGACUACGAGAACUUCGAAUCAAGACUUACUACUUUCAAGGAUAUACGAAAGACAUUAACUGAUGUUAAUGUCAGCAUCAUUGGGGUGUACGGCAUGGGCGGCAUUGGAAAGACGACACUGGUGAAGGAGUUUGCUAGGCGAGCCAUUGAAGACGAGCUUUGUGAUAUGGUGGUUUUUUCGGAGGUUACCCAAAGUCCAGACAUAAAACAGAUCCAAUAGGAAAUUGCGGAAAAGCUAGGCCUAGAGUUGUCCGAGGAAGCUGAGUUUAGAAGAGCUAGUAGAAUAUUUGAAAGAUUGAAGAAUGAGAAGAAGAUCCUUAAGAUUCUGGAUAACAUCUGGAAAUCUCUUGAUUUGGGGACUAUUGGAAUUCCUUAUGGGGUUGAGCAUAGAGGAUGUAAAUUAUUAUUCACUACAAGAGAUCUUGAUGUGCUGAUAAGGAUGGGAUCUGAGAAACAAAGAGCUGCCUGAGUGGAAGAAUGCCAUGCAAGAACUCCAAAUGCCUUCAGAGACAAGCUUCGACGAAGGAGUACCAGCAGAGGCACACUCAACAAUUGAGCUGAGUUACAAGUAUUUAGGUAAGCAACUCAAGGAAACGAUUUUACUAUGUAGUCUUAUUGCACCAACUUCAAUUAUGGACUUGAUCAAUUAUAGCAUGGGUUUGGGGUUUUUUGAAAGUGUCCUUAAGCUAGAAGAGGCACAUAACAAAUUACAUGCAUGGGUCCGUCAACUAAGAGACUCUUGUUUGCUGCUUGUGGAUGGUAGCAGUAAAUUCUUUUCUAUGCAUGAUGUUCUUCGCGAUGUUGCCAUUUCAAUUGCAUGUCGUGACAUGAAUGCAUUUGUGGUGAGAAAUAAGAAUAUGUGGGAAUGGCCAAAUCCAGAUGCAUUAAAAAAAUAUCUUGCAAUCUCUUUAAUAAAUAGUCGUAUUAAUGACAUUCCUGAAGGGCUGGAAUCUGCACAACUUGAAUUUUUACUUAUGAUUCCCAAGAACUCUUUUUUUGGGCUCAAUAUUCCUGAGAACUUCUUUAAAGGGGUGAAAAAGCUUCGGGUUGUAGCUUUGGUAAAAAUGCGGUUAUCAUCAUUGCCAUCUUCAAUCUAUCUUCUAGUAAAUCUUCAAACACUUUGCCUUGAUCAAAGCAUUUUGAGAGACAUAGACAUAGCCAUUAUUGGAAAGUUGAAAAAUCUAAAAAUCCUUAGCUUUGUGCGGUCUGAUAUUGUGCAGUUGCCUAAAGCACUAGGUGAACUGACUAAGCUACGGCUGUUAGAUUUAACAGACUGUUUCCAUCUAAAAGUUAUUGCUCCAAAUGUCAUAUCAAGCUCAACCCGAUUAGAAGAAUUGUAUAUGGGUAAUUGCCCCAUUGAAUGGGAGGUUGAAAGAUCCAAUAGUAAAAGAAGUAAUUCUAGCCUUGAUGAAUUGAUGAAUUUACCUUGGCUAACCACUCUAGAAAUUGAUGUUAAAAAUGACAGUAUUUUACCAGAAAGCUUUUUAACCAAAAAGCUGGAAAGGUUCAAAAUAUCUAUUGGAAACGAAUCAUUCAUGCCUCCUCAGAAGAAAACAAUGGUUUCGAAGCCUGCCGCACUUUUUGAUCAACAGUAAUCGUGAGAGUUUAAGAGAAUUGAAGCUCAAGCUUGAUUUUAUGGACAUUUGCUCCAUGAAAUUGCAGGGCAUCAAUAAUGUUGAAUACCGAUAGUUGGACAAGCUGCACGGUGUCAAGAAUGUUCUUUUCGAUUUGGACACAGAGGGCUUUUCACAGUUGAAGAUUCUCUGGGUUCAAAAUAAUGCUGACUUCUUUUUUAUCGUUGACUCAAUGGAGAUGGUCGCUUGUGAUGCCUUUCCUCUUUUGGAGUCGCUUACUCUUUUCAAUUUGAUCAACAUGGAGAGGAUAUGUAUGAAAAAUAAUUUCUUGAAACUUAUUUAAAUCCAGACUAAAUUACUGAGCAACAUCAAAUUGGAAGCGUACCUGAAUCCAUUGUUAUUAUGCACUAGAAAAGAUUUUUGAUCUUGGCAAUGGAUUUCCAAACUAGUCUCUAUCCUGUGUUAAGAAUUCUCACUGAGAGGAUUUUUGAGAAUGAAAAGAGAUUGAGAUAGAAUGGGGACCAUAACCACCGUAUAAAGAAAACUGACUAGCGGUUUUAAUUUUAUGUUAAUUAUCACUUCUGCUCCUCAUAGAAGUUAUAAUUAAACUAUAAUAUCUAUGUAAUUAACCCACAACUAUUAUACCCUUAGCCAUUUAAUUAACAUUAAAUAGAUCACUUAAUUGAUGGCUAAUUAAAUAAUAGCACACACAUUUUAUUUGUUUCAUGUGUGGCCCCAAAUAUUAGAUUAAUUAAAAUUAAUCUAACAAUGUAUUGAUCGGCUCAAAAUUGUGAUGAGUUGAGUAAUAUCUUCUGCCUCUCUAGAACAAAAUGCCUUCCAAGACUUGAGAGAAUUGCAGUUAUUAAUUGCAGGAAGAUGAAAGAGAUUUUUGCAAAUGGGGGAGAAGCUGAUGUUGACAACAACAAUGCAACUGAGAGGAUACAGUUUUCUCGAUUAAGAUCUUUGAGUCUGGAAAAUCCUCCAGAGGUUACAAGUUUUUUCCGUGAAGUGAAGACUCCUUCAGCAUCACCACACAGACGAGUGCCGGAAGAGGAAUUGACAAAUUCUUGCUCCAACGAAAUCAAUUUAGAUAGUUCAACUCAGCUUUUCAACGAGAAGGUGCAUAGGUUAAUACUUUAUUUAUUUAUAUAUGAUUUUAUUCUAUUGUGCAUUCUCUUUUGAUGUCAUACGCAGGAAAUAAUUAAAUCAUUAAAGAAUUAAAAGAAAAUGAUAAAAAGCAAAAAAGAAUCUCACGCACUUGCUAAUGGAGCUCUUAGCAAGUAAUAUGAAUUUGAUUGUAUACUCAGCUGUCUGUUGGAAAUUGAUUCUGACUUGCUUUAAUUUGUAAUAACAGAAGAAAAAUUUCAACAAGUGCUUCUUAUAUGGUUAUUGGUUCUAACGAGAAAUUUAUAUCUUUUUUAGGUGGAGUUGCCUAACUUGGAGGCUUUUGAGUUGUGUUCAAUUAAUGUCGACAAGAUUUGGCACUACAAUCAUCUUCCGUUCAUGCUUUCUCGCUUUCAAAGUUUAACACGAUUGAUUGUGCAGAGCUGUCCCAAAUUAAAAUACAUAUUUUCAGCGUCUAUGAUCCAAAGCUUUGAGCUGCUCCGAGAACUAUCCAUAGCGGAUUGUAGGGGUUUGCGAGAGAUCAUUUCGAAAGAUAGAGCAGAUCAUGUGACCCCUUGUUUUGUCUUUCCACAGAUGACCACUUUGAGACUCGAAAUUCUACCAGAACUUAAAUGCUUAUACCCUGGAAUGCAUACUUCGGAAUGGCCAGCACUAAAAACUUUAUAUGGGCCUCAUUGUGACCAAUUAAAGAUAUUCGCUGCAGAUUUAUUGCAGAAUAAUGGGAAUGAUCAACUUGGAAUUUCCGCACAACAACCCCUAUUUUUGUUCGGAAAGGUAUGAAGUCAUUUUCUCGAUUUUUUAUUAAUUAGAUCAUUGACGACUUUUGACUUUGAAAAAUAUACAAAACAUCGAUAAAUUAGUACUUAAUAAAUUGAAAACUUCCAUUACAUAAUAAUUUUUGCUAGUUUGGACAAAGGGAUCAAUGUGCUAAAUUAAUAAUUCCAUGAACUUCUUUAGGUGUAGCAUUAUAUUAGUUUUGUCAUAUAUAACCACUUACAAUAUAAAUUAAUAAUUUACUAUUGUGGAAUAAAAUAUUUUCAUACCAAUUUAUAAAUCAAUCAUUUUUUCCCUAAUUUCUCUCUUAUCUCUAAAAUUAACAUAUAAAAGCCCUAGAAUGAAUUUUAUCACUAAUUCAAUUUUUCCGUACUUUUUUUGUAAAAUAUAACAUAAAAGAAAUACUAUAAAGUCAAUGUGUAUGAAUGGAUUACUCAAAAUUAUUUGAGAGCACAUCAAUUGACCUAAUUAGUUAUUACGUGAUUGAUGAUGACCAGACCUUUCCCAACUUGAAGACACUAUCAUUACGGGGAAAAGACGUGAAGAUGAUUUUUGCAGGCUAAUUUACCACAACACCUUUUUGGUAGUCUUAAAGAACUACACAUAACUUUUAAUUGGUUUGACUGUAUCAAAAAGUCUUGAUAUGCGUCUUAUGAUGUUGUGAUAGCUUAUCUAUAUGGGUCACUUGACACGGAUAUAUGUAUGAAAAUCCCUUAAGGAUUUAAAAUGCCAGAAUCUUGUCAAUCAUCACAUCGUGGCUUGUAUUCAAUAAAGCUACAAAAGUCUUUAUAAGUAUUAAAACAAUCUGGAUGCAUGUGGUAUAAUCGCCUCAGUGAAUAUUUGAUAAAACUAUGAUACGUUAAUGAUCCUAUCUGUCCAUGUGUUUUUAUCAAGCAAUCAAAAUUUGAAAUUACUAUUGUCGCAGUUUAUAUUGAUGAUUUGAAUUUAAUAGGAACUCCUGAAGAGCUCCAAAAGACCGCUCAAUGUUUGAAAAAUGAAUUUGAAAUGAAAGAUUUAGGGAAAACUAGGUAUUGUCUUGAGAUGCAGACCGAGCACAGACUUAAUGGUAUAUUUAUCCAUCAAUCAACUUAUACUGAGAGAAUUUUAAAACGUUUCAACAUGGAUAAAGCUUACCCAUUGAGUACCCCAAUGGUAGUCCAGUCUCUUGAUCCGAAAAAAGAUCCAUUCCGUUUUAAAGAAGAUGAUGAACAGAUACUUAGUCCUGAAGUACCAUAUCUAAAUGCAAUUGGUGCUCUGAUGUAUUUAGCACAAUGUACUAGACCAGACAUAGCAUUUUCUGUUAAUUUGUUAGCUCAAUUUAGCUCUGAACCAACUAGAAGACAUUGGAAUGGUGUCAAACACAUUUUUCGUUAUCUUCUAGGAACAAUUUGAUUUAGGUUUAUUUUAUUCUAAUGAACUAACAAAAAAUCCAGGUCUUGUUGGUUAUGCUAAUACAGGUUAUUUAUCUGAUCCCCAUAAAGCUCGUUCACAAACAGGAUAUAUUUUCACUUUCAAUGGUACAAAGAUUUCUUGGAAGUCUACAAAACAGACUCUCGUUGCAACAUCCUCCAACCAUUCUGAAAUUCUUGCACUACAUGAAGCCAAUCGAGAAUGCAUAUGGUUGCGAUCUGUAAUCCAUCAUAUUCAAAGUACAUGUAGAAUAUCUUCAAGUUCAGAUAUCCUAACAGUGAUAUAUGAAGAUAAUGCUGCAUGUAUAGCUCAACUCAGAGGAGGAUACAUUAAAGGGGACAGAACAAAACAUAUUUCACCGAAAUUCUUCUACACUCAUGAGCUCCAACAGAAUAAGAAGAUUAAUAUCAAACAGAUACGCUCCACGGAAAAUUUAGCUUAUAUGUUUAUAAAAGCUCUACCUACAUCUACGUUCGAAAAAAUUGUAUAUGGCAUCGGCAUGCAUCAUUUUAACAAACUGUUAAAUUAAUACAUGUUGCCUUCAGGAAGAGCACUCAACAAGAGGAGCGUGAUCUUACAAGAGAAGAAUCGUAGUAAUAUUGGACACAUAUAUACUGUACUCUUUUUUUUCCUUUUGACCAGGUUUUCCCAUUGGAUUUUUACUGGCAAAGGUUUUUAAUGAGGCAGUAUCCAAUGUCAUUAGGGGGAGCACAUCUAAUGAAUAAUUGGUGAAUCUAAUGGGGAGCGUUGUAAAUCGUGAUGGAUUCCACCAAAAUAAUGCUCUCCCAUUAUCUUCUUUAUUGCUCUUCCCCUUUUUAUAAUUAAUAAUUGUGAAUAACCCCACCUUCUAAUGCCUAUAUAUACCCUUUCUUUGCUAAUGAAUGAAUACAAUUCAAUUUCUUGCUCAAAGCAUUUUGCUUGUUUUCUUCAAUAUUCAUUUGAGUAUUCCUUACUUAAAUAUCAUCAUUAAAUAAUUGCUUACACACAACUCCUUUAAAUUAUAACAUCCAUUAUCUCCGAAUUUAAAAUACUUUCAACAAUUUUUACGGAUUCUGGCAAUUGUUCACGCAACUAUUUUAAUCGAAAAUAUAUAUGGCUCCAUAAACAAUGAUUAUCUCUUGACAGCUGUUCUGCACUUGCUUUUUUUUUUUUUUUUUGAAGAAAGGAAGAAAUUCAUUAAACAGACAAAUGAGAAAAUAACCAGGGUGGUGGAACAUGUCUCCAUUCACCCGGACCUGACACAGAACACCCCACCUUAGCCACAACAUGGGCGGCGGUAUUCGCAGAUCUCCUUACAAAAGAGAAAGUCACCUCUUUUAAGCAAUGAGCCAAGGCUCUACAAUCUGAAAUAAUAAUACCAAAUCCGUUUUGAUAGUCCUUGGAGUCAAUCAAAGCAUUAAAAACUUGUAAACAAUCAGUCUCAAUAAUAAUAGGAAAAAACUGGGUGUUCUUAAGCCAACUCAAGACCUCUCACACACCCAAAGCCUCUGCCUCGCGAGCUCCAAAAUUGCCAAUCAAAGAUCCACAUUUUGCAGCAAGAAAUUGACCCUCAGAAGACCGGAUAACUGCGCCUUAGCUAAUCCUAGUAGUAGCGCGGGAAGUGGCAGCGUCCACAUUGCAUUUAAACCAUCCAACGCGAGGGCGUUUCCAGCAAAUAGAGCCAAGAGUUAAAUCUGCUGGCAUCUGAGUAAAGUGACUCAGUUGACGAGCCUUUUGCCACUGGAACAAGUCUUGACCAGCUUUAUUGAGCACUUGAGACACUCUGCCUACUACAUGCCUCCAAACUUUAGUAUUCCGAUUCUGCCAAAGACCCCAGUAAACCAUUGCAGCAAGACAACUAUCCUCAAUACUACACCGAGUAAAUAAAGCAUCCAACCAAGCACCAAAAUUCACAAAAUUUCCAGCAAAACCAACCAAGGAAACCAUCCAGCAUUGUUUGGCAAAAGGACAAUCAACUAAGACAUGAUAAAUUGUCUCAAGAGAUUCAUUAUAGAUAGUACAAUAAGGGUGUACCUCGACUCGACGACUGAGAAGGUUAUCAGCAGUGGGAACCACAUUUGCCACAGCUCUCCAAAGAAAAUUCUUGAUUUUGGCGGGCACAGCCAGCUUCCAAAUCUUACUCCAAACUCCACUGCCAGGCGGUUCCGAUAUAAUAUCCAUCCACUUGUAACAACUUCGAACAGUGUAAACUCCUUUUGCGUCAGGGAGCCAAUACCAAGUAUCACAAUCCCUCCGAGAGCUAAGAGGAAUUUGGAGAAUGCAGUCUCGAUCUCUUCUGUUAAACACAUCCUUUACAAGGUCAUAAUCCCACCUUCGGUGAUCAGGAAUCAUAAGACUGUUAACAUUUAUGUUUCAUAAUAUUGAUUUUGAUGAUAACAAACAAGAUUAAGAAUAAUUAAUCUUUUAGGAUCAAAUUAUUUUUUAUAUAUUUUAAAUAAAUCAUUAUUUUCACAUUAUAAAUGUUUUAUAUUUAAUGAAAAAAUGAUUUUAAGAAAAAUGAUUGUUUAAAUACAUGAAAUGUUUGUCAUCAUCAAAAAGGGGGAGAUUGUUAACAUAUAUGUUUCCAUAAUAUUGAUUUUGAUGAUAACAAACAAGAUUAAGAAUGAUUAAUCUUUUAAGAUCAAAUUAUUUUUAUACAUCUUAAAUAAAUCAUUAUUUUCACAUUUUAAAGGUUUUAUAUUUAAUGAAAAAUGAUUUUAUGAAAUUGGUUGUUUUUCAAAGUUUAUGGUUUAAUUAAAAGAAUUUUUGAAAACUUUGAAAUAAACAAGUAUUGCUUGAAAUUCUGGUAAAGGACUUAUUUGAAAAGUGUUAUAGCAUUUUGGCUAUAUCAUAAUUUCAGAAAGUUUUGGGAUUAACAAAGCAUUACUUAGAAAUUCUGAAAUUGGACCUAUUUGAAAUAUUUCAUAACGUUUUGGGCCUUAGUACAGUUUUAUAAAGUUUUGGGGUCAAACUAUAAUUUCAAAAAAUAGUGCACUGUGCAGGUUACUGUAGCAAGCGGCUUACCGGAUUCUAAAAACCGGAAAUCCGGAUUCGGGGCAGUAAGCAUCCGAAACGCAAACGGCUAACCGGAUGUCCAUAAACGGCAAGCCGGUUACGACAAAAAAUGUGCAUAACGGCUAGUUUUUGAGUUCAAACUAUAUAAACUCAAAACCAAUUCAUUUUUGGUAACUUAAGCAAGCAAGAACAAGUGCACACAACAUAUAUUGAGCUUCAACUUCGUGAAUCAUCAUUCAUUAAAUCAAAGUGCACACAACAUAUAUUGAGCUUCAACUUCGUGAAUCAUCAUUCAUUAAAUCAUCUUUGUUCUUCAAUUUGUAUAUCCACUCUUAAAGAGAGUUUCAUUGUUGUAUUUAUCAUUUCUCAUAAAAUUGUGAGAGUACAAGUGUGAGAAACACUUAGAGUGAAGAGAUUGGAGAGAUAAUCUCUUGUUGUAAAGGUUUAUUGACACCUCGAAGUCAAUUGUAAUCGUUGAAGCCUUGGAAAGGCUUGGAUAGUGAAAUCCUCAAGCGGGUGAGCUUGGAGGCGUGGACGUAGGCGGGGAUAGCCGAACCACGUAAAAAUCCUUGUGUUCAUUUUCUCUUCCCUUACUCUUUUAAUAUUGUGUUUAUUUGAAUUUAUUGUUUUCGAAUUGAUUAAGGCAUUAGAUUGAAUUGUUGUGUGGUUUGCCUAGGAUAAUUUUUAAAAUUCCAAUUCACCCCCCUCUUGGGUUGCACACUUAUACCUAAUUACUCACAGGAGCUGAUGCUAACGUCGCUGGAAGAUUAGUUGUAAUAAAGCCACUCUCCUGAUCAGGCAGCUAGGGAACCAAGCCAAUAGGAAUGCUCUGUCCACUUCCAACUUGGACACGACUCCCUUGGAUUAAAAUCUUCUGAGCAGCCAAAAUCGAUCUCCAUGCAUAACUCGGAUUACUUCCCAACUUAGCUUGAGUGAAGUCUGCAUUAGGCUAAUACCGUGCUUUAAAUAAUCUGCCCACCAGCGAAGAUGGAUUUGUAAUUAACCUCCAGCCUUGUCUCCCUAGCAUAGCAACAUUAAAGUUGUGGAUGUGUUUAAACUCAAUACCACCAUAAGAUUUGGGCUUACAAAGUUUUUCCCACUGCAUCCACUUAAUUCCACCACUACCAUAUCUUUUACUGCCCCACCAAAAAGAAUUCAGCAUCCUUUCAAGUUCUCGCAGAGGUCGAGAGGGAGGAGGUAAACUUGCAUAGCAUAAUUAGGUAUGGCAUGUGCCACAGUUUUAAUUAAGAUUUCCUUUCCAGCUCUAAAGAGGAGUUUCUGAUGCCACCCUUGAAUUCUCUGCCAAACUUUAUCCUUUAUAUAUCGGAAAAUAUCUAUCUUCUUGCGCCCAACAUAUGAUGGUAAUCCAAAAUAGGUACCAUGGUCUGUAGUAGCUGUAACUCCAAGUUGUUGACAGAUAUUAUGAACAGUAUCCUCAGCCAUAUUCCUACUGAAAGAAAUUGAGGAUUUAUUGUAGUUCACUUGCUGCCCCGAAGCUGCUUCAUAAGUUGUCAAAAUCUUUUUUACCAGGUGAGCCUCCUGAACAGUAGCUUUAAAGAAAAGAAAGCAGUCAUCAGCAAAAAAGAGGUGAGAAACCAAAGGAGCACCUCUAGCAACUCGAGCCCCAUGGAUCAUCCCAGCCCUCUCAUAGUGAUUUAUCAGCAAACUCAGCCCCUCUGCACAGAUGAUAAACAGAUAUGGCGAUAGCGGAUCUCCUUGUCUAAGACCUCGACUUGGCACGAUAGGGCCCAGCUCCAACCCUUCCCGGGUAAUUUUGUAGGUAACUGUAGUGACACAGAGCAUAAGAAGAUUCACCCAAACAACAUCAAAUCCCAACUUCAGUAAAAUCGAUCUAAGAAACCCCCACUCAAUCCGAUCAUAAGCCUUGGUCAUAUCGAUCUUUAAUGCAGCAAUCCCCUCAUUUCCUUGACGUUUCCGUUUGAGAAAGUGCAUUAUCUCAGCCGAGAUUAAAACAUUAUCAGCAAUAGCUCUACCUGGAACAAAAGCACUCUGAGAAUUGGAAAUUAUCGAUCCUAAAACCAUCUUCAUACGAUUAGCAAGCAUCUUGGCUAUAAUUUUAUAGAGGACAUUACAUAAGGAAAUAGGUCGAACAUCAGUUAAGAAUUCUAUAUGUUUCUUCUUAGGAAUAAGGACAAUGGAAGUCUCAUUAAAACCCUCAGGAAAAGAACACUCCCGAAUGAAUCUAAGACACGCCUCAGUAAUAUCAGUACCCACAAUAUUCCAAAACUUUUGGUAAAAUGCUGGGUUCAUUCCAUCAGGACCAGGGGACUUAUCAGGGUGCACAUCAAACACGGCAGAUUGAACAUCUUCAGCAGUAAAAGGUUCCAAAAGAGCUUGAUUUUAUACAUCAGUAAUUUUAGCUUCCACACAACUUAGCACAUCAUCAUAAGAACAAAUCCCAGUAGUAAAUAAAGUUGUGAAAUACUCACGAAUUAAAUUAUUUACAUCCGCAGGAUUAGUACACCAUUGCCCCUCUUGCGUGCGAAGCUUAAUUAAGGUAUUCUUACGCUUCCUUGAUGAGGCCAUGGCAUGGAAAUACUUUGAGUUUAAAUCCCCAUCCCGAAGCCAAAACAUCUUCGAACGCUGCUUCCAAUAAACUUCAUGGCUAUGCAAGAGCUCAUUGUAUCUAUCUCGAGCUUCAGUAAAAUCAGCCAAGCUAACUGUAUCACGCUUGCCCCGAAGCUGAUUCAUUUUAUCCUUGCACUCCUUAAUUUGAACUUUGAAAUCCCGAGUACGAUGAUAGCCCCACCGAACUAAAUCUAAGCUGCAAGCCGGAAUUUUACUGAGAAUAGGAAGCCCACUCGUCAUAGACCAACUCUUCUCAACAAUAUUAGCACAAUCCGGAUUUCUAAGCCAUGAGUUCUCAAAACGAAACUUCAUUGACCGCCGUCUCAAAACCACAGGAGACACAUCCAAAAAGAUAGGGAGGUGAUCUGAACUCGAAGCUUCAAGACACAGAACCUUCGCUUGCGGGAAAAGAUUCACCCAAGCCGAAUUUGCAAGGGCUCGAUCUAACCGUUCUUCAACCCAAGCUUCAGUGCCCCGUGACCGUUCCCACGUGAACUGGUAACCAUCCAUACCCAAAUCAAUGAGGCCCGAAUCUGAAAGGGCAGCCCUGAAACCAUUUAUCUUCCACUGCGGGUGGGCAUGAGAGCCGCGGUUCUCUGAGGAAUUGAGAAGGUCGUUGAAGUCCCCUAGGCAGACCCAUGGUAACGACGAAGAAGAAGCUAGGUACCGGAGAAGAUUCCAAGAAUCAUGUCUGCGAAAUGACUCGGGAAACCCAUAGAAACCCGUAAGUCUCCAGAUGCCCCUUUCACUAUCCUCAACUGCAACGUCUAUGAAAUUACGACCAAACUUCAAUAGUUUAACUUUAAAACUAUUUUUCCAGAACAUAGUAACCCCACCACUACGACCCUUUCUAUCCACCACAAACAAACCCUCAAAGCCUAAUUUAAUUUUGAUGCUUUCUAACUUAUCUCUGUAACAUAAUGUCUCAAUCAAAAAAAUAAAGUCCGGUCUUUUAUUAUGGACCAACUCAACAAGAGCUUGAACUGACCGUGGGUGGCCCAACCCACGACAAUUCCAACUUAAACAACUCAUUGCUGUCGGUGGGCCUGGGAUACAGGGCCCACCGCUGGUCCAUUUUUUGAGUGCUCACUCAUCUCUAUUGUCUCGUUAUCAGCAUGCUCUUCUAAAGUCAAAUUGAUAGAAGGCCCACCUCCUGAUCUUCUCCGUUUUGCAUCAACUAAAAUUAAUGCAGAAUUAUACUCCACAUCAGUUUCCUUCACAAGCAUCGAAUGAUUAGCUAUUAGUUCCUCGUCAAUUCCAGCUACACACGUUGACUUACAGCCUGUUACAAGAGUAUUAGUUUCCAUAGUAGAAGUCAUUGUGGCUUGAUCACUUUCCUUCCCAAGGUCUCCAUGACCAGCUGUCCCAUGAUUCACGCUAUUUUCCAAGUCAACUGCCAUUGCAACAGCGGAAGUUGAGGAAUUACCAAAUUUCACCUCAUCUAUCUCCAACACUCCCGAUCUGAGCCAAUGGUCACCAGUGUUCAUCGAAUUUCUCCGAUUGGGAGCCUUCAUCCAAGGGCCAUAAGGUUUUGUAACAGGGGUAGCAUCGGUUUCAUAUAUUGAAGGGCAAUUUAUAUCAGUGUGUCCUAAAAUGCCAUAGAUAAAACAAAAAUUGUGCAGUCGCUCAUACUUGAAGUCUACCCAUAACCACUCCCCACCCUCCCAUUUGAGGCGCAUUCGUCGUUUAAGAGGUUUCCUAACAUCAAUCGAAACCCUCAGCCUCAUGUAAUUACGCCAUACUCCUGUAAGAUUAUGUUCAUCAGACGCCAAAAAUUCACCAAUAAAGUUGCCAAUACUCUGUAAUAUUUUCUCGGAUUGAAAUCCAAGAGGCAGAUUAUACACUUGAACCCAGAAAUAUGUGUGGAAUAGAGGGAUAUUCUGCGGUUGUUCAACUACCCCAAGUCUCCGAAUGAUAAGAAUAUGCUGGUCAAAAGUCCAGGGACCAGAUUCAAGAACCCUCCUCACAUCAAUUUCAUGAAAGAACUGGAAGAGAAAAAGCGUGGGAGAUAAAUCCUUAAUACAAACACCACGCCCAGGACGCCAUAACGAAGCCAUAGUAUUUUUCAUGGCAAUAAAGUUCACUACUUUAUCCGUGAGAAAUCUUCCCACAAGGCAGAAUUUGGAAUCAAGGCGGAUAUCCCCAGGUUCACCAAUAUCUCCUCUCCAGCCACAAUCAAACCACCCUCCUCCUCUUCGUCAAGUUGCAGGCGCGCACAGAUGUUGCUCAUCUCAGAUGCCGGAGUAUUACUUGAGUUGGCCAUGGAUUAAAGAAAGAAAGGAUCGAAUCCGUAGACAGUAGAGAAAUAACAAAAGGAGACCAGAUUUUACUUGUCAAAAGACAAGACACACACACUUGUCAAAAGACAAGACACGAAUAAUUUUCCCACCUUAAAAGCUGGAAUAUCUUGGAACACUCUAAUGCACACUCGGUAAAAACAAAAGCAUGCUAAUUAAUAAACAUUUUUCACCAAAACCAAAACAGUGCUUGCCAUUUCUUUUUUGCACAGAAACCAAAACAAUGCUCUUAUCUUCCAUGCGGAACUUCCAGCAACUUUCACCGGCAACGGCUGGACAUAUUAGCGAUGGCUGGACAUUUCAGAAUGGAGACGGUUGAUGAAUGUGCGACGGGUCGGGUGCUGGUGGUGCUGGCAGUGGCAGAAAGAUCGCGCUUGGCGGGUGUUAAGUGAUACUAUUUUUGUAGCUUAGUCGCAGUUGCCGGAGAUACGUGGACGGCCAGCAAAAAGUACAUUAAUAUCUAUGUGUUUGAGAAGUUAUUCCAACCUUCUCUUAGAAUACUAUAAUCAGAUUUGAGUGGUUCUGUAAAUCAAGUUUGAACUAAUAAAUCCAUUCGGUGACUGUUAAUCCUAAGUACUAGUGUCGCUUGAUUUUUAUCUUAACCCGACACCGUGUGUUCUGCACUUGCUAUUUGUACUGAAAUAGAAGAUUAUCUCUUGAUGAUUAUUUAAUUGAAAAGAAUUUGUCGUUUAUAUUUGUUCACUGGCCUUUGGAUGAGGAUCACAUGUUUUAUGACAAUCCUAAUGUUGCUAAUGUAAGUCAAGCAAUUAUUUUUAAAUAAUGAUAUUAUAAUUAAAAAUCUAAAAACAUUUAUAAUACUUAAAGACUAAUUCAGAUUAUUAAUUUUUUUAUAUGACUUCAUUAUUAGCUGACAAAUAAUUAAAAGGCCAUAGAACAAUAUUUUUAGGUCCAAUUUUUACAAAACUUGUACUUUCAUUCCUAAGCUAAAAUAUAUCUAACCUACUAACAAUCAAGAAAUAUAUCUAUUCAACACAUAUUUGUUAGAAAGAUUAUCUACUAAUUAAUCAUUGGUUACGAGAUUAAUAUAUUGAAAUUCAGAACUUUUUUUUUUCCUUCUGCAGUUUAAAAAGGAGUCGCCCACGAGUAUUGAAAUAAUUUUAUCAGAUUCGCUUGAAAGUAGUUUUACGAGCAAGCAGUUUUUCCCUCUUGAUCCCCGUAUUCGUCAGCUCCUACUCUUUGCCUUCAAUUCUCAGUCAAGAAAACCUCUCCUGAUUUUCGUCUUUUGAUCUCAUACACACUUUGCUUCUAUUUAUCGUGGUCACUGCUCAUGCUAGCCGUUUUCUUAUUUACCUUCGUUCCCUUUCGCCAUCAGCUAUUUGCAUUUUCAUUGGAUCAAGCAACCCUUUUAUUGAUUCAAUUUUCUGAUCUAAAAAACACUUUGAUUUCCCUUGUUUUGUACAAAUAUCAUUUCUUUUUUCAACUUUGCCUUGUUUUGCUUCUACUUGAUUAUCAAUUGCGCGGUCGUUGACCCUGUUCUAUUUCUAUUCCGUUCACUUCCUCCCCCCCCCCCCCCCCAACAAAAAAAAAUGGACAUUUUGAAAAGCAUUGUUCCUGGAGUUGUAAACUGCUUGUCUCCGCGCGCACAACGCGAAUUUAGUUAUUGGUACAACUCCGCUGCCAACUUUGAGAAUUUCAAGGCAGAACUCGAUAGGCUCAAGGAUGAAAGAGAAAGCAUUCAGCACAGAGUUUCGGAGGCUGAAAGAAAAAGUGAAAAGAUUGAAAAGAAGGUUGAGAAAUGGGUGGUUAAUGCGAACAAGAGCAUUGAGCAGGCAGCCAAAUUCAUUCUAGACGAAGAGAAAGCAAAUGAACGAUGUCUCAUGGGGAUGUUUCCUAAUUGGAUUACUCGCUAUCAGCAUGGAAAGAAAGCAGAAACAGAGAAGGAGGCCUUUUUUAAGCUCCGAGAAGAAGCUGGGAGAUUUGAUGAUAGAAUUUCCUACCGUACCAUUCCGGAGGAGAUUUGGCUCAAGUCUCACAAAGGCUACGAGGCCUUCGAAUCAAGACGUUCUACUUUGGAGGCUAUAAAAAAUGCAUUGAUCGAUGUUGAUGUCAGCAUCAUUGGGGUGUCCGGCAUGGGCGGCAUUGGAAAGACGACACUGGUGAAGAAGGUCGCCAGGCAAGCUAUGGAAGACAAGCUCUUUGAUAUGGUGGUCUUUUCAGAGGUUUCCCAAAUCCCAGACAAAAAAAGGAUUCAACAGGAAAUUGCCGAGAAGUUGGGCCUAGAGUUGGGCGAGGAGGUUGAAUCCAGAAGAGCAAGUAGAAUAUUUGAGCGAUUGAGAGAUGAGAAGAAGAUCCUAGUGGUUUUAGACAACAUCUGGAAACACCUUGAUUUGGAGACCGUUGGAAUUCCUUGUGGAGAAGACCAUGAAGGAUGCAAACUACUGCUGACAGCAAGAGAUCGUAGUGUCCUCUUAAAAAUGGGAUCUAAAGACAACUUCUUGAUUAACAAUUUAAAUGAUGAAGAAGCAUGGAGAUUGUUUAAGAUGAUGGCCGGUGAUGAUGUUGAAAAUCGUGAGUUGAAAUCUACAGCAACAGACGUCGCCAGGGCAUGUGGAGGUUUGCCCAUUGCCUUGACUACAGUGGCAAAGGCACUGAGAAGCAAGAGUCUGCAUGAAUGGAAGAAUUCCUUGCGAGAACUCCGAACGCCUUCAAUGGUAAACUUCGAAGGAGUAUCUGCAGAGACUUAUUCAAGUAUUGAGCUGAGUUUCAACCAUUUAAAAGGUGAGCAACUCAAGAAAAUUUUUCUGCUCUGUAGUCUAAUGGAUAACCGUAUUCUUACUUCGGACUUGUUUAAGUACUCCAUGGGUUUGGGUAUAUUUAAAGGAGUCAAUAAGAUGGAAGAUGCACGAGACAAAUUAUAUGCAUUAGUCCAUGAACUUAGACACUCUUGUUUGUUGCUUGAGGAUGAUAGCAAUGAACAAUUUUCAAUGCAUGAUGUUGUUCGCGAUGUCGCAAUAUCGAUUGCAUGCCGCCACCAACAUGUGUUUUCGGUGAGAAAUGAUGAGGAUGUGUGGGACUGGCCAGAUGAGGAUACACUUCAAAAAUGCAAUGCUAUCUCUUUAAUAAAAAAUAGUAAUUGUGAAUUUCCUGAAGGAUUAGAAUGCCCAAACCUUGAAUUUUUAUAUAUCUCUCUCAAAGAUUCUUCUCGUGAAAUUAAUAUUCCUGGGAACUUUUUUGUAGGGAUGAAAAACCUUAGAGUUCUAGAUUUCACUCUAAUGCAGUUUUCUUCUUUUCCAUCUUCAAUUGAUCUUCUAGUAAAUCUUCACACACUAUGUCUGGAUCAAAGUUCGUUGGGGGACAUAGCAAUCAUUGGGAAGUUGAAGAGUCUAGAAGUCCUUAGCUUUGUGAGGUCUGAUAUUAAGAAGUUGCCCGAAGAGCUAGGUCAACUGUCUAAGCUAAGGCUGUU
rnacentral:lncRNA from 1 species